rnacentral:lncRNA from 1 species
AAACACACAAUUUUUAUUUGAACACAGGUGACAAAAGAAAUGGAAAAUUUGGAUUCUUGAAAAAUGUCAAGCUUCCAAGUUCCACGAGAAUUACUAGAUAACUCAAGAACAUCAUCAGCCAUAAUCUACAAUUUAUUAAUGGAGCUAUCUGACUUAAUUGAAUGUUGGAAACUGAUUGUGGUCUGACUUUAAUUGCUGUUAGUGUAGUUCUCGAUCUGCAAUGACAUCACAGUCUGGGAUGGUUCAUAUGAGGACUUGCAUUCUUGCAGAAAGAGUGUGAUGAUUCGCCUAACAAGUGUUCUGUUUCCUCGCUAUUUUGCUGAGCCAAUGAUUUCUGAUGAAGAGCUUUCAGCUUAGCAAGCUCAUCGGACACUUCCUUCAUGGUUGGCCGGUUUACUCCCAUGCUAUUCAGACAUCCUUUUGCAAGCUUAGCUACAGCUUCUAUCUCAUCCAUUUCGCCUUCAUCAGCUGCCUGGAAAUCCAAAAUUCUGAAAAGAUUAUUAGUUUCCAGUGCUGAGAUAAAGUGUUGAAUGAGGUUCCGUUUCUCUCCAGACUUGGAAAUGGAGUUUGGCAUCUCUCCGGUGAGAAGCUCCACAAGAACUACCCCAAAGCUAUAGACAUCACUUUGAACGGUUAAAAUACCCGUCAUAAGAUACUCAGGAUCCAGGUAGCCUAGAGUACCUUGUAUUUUUGUAGCUAAGAUAUCGGUUUGGCCAGGAGACAUCAGCACCGAAGCUCCAAAAUCUGCUACUUUUGCUGUGUAAUUACUGUCUAGAAGUAUGUUUACUGACUUGACAUCCCCAUGAAUAACUGGAGGGUCUGCCAGAGAGUGCAAAUAAUCAAGCGCAAGCGCAGCCUCCGAUGCCACCCUCAAACGAUUGGUCCAGGAAGCCAAUAUCCGGGAACCUUUGUUGUGGAUGUGCUUGGAAAGAGUUCCAUUUGAGAUGAACUCAUAGACCAGUAAUGGAACUUUGGUCUCUAGACACAGGCCCAAGAGCUUUACCACAUUCCUGUGAUUGACCUGCGAAACAAUGCUCAUUUCCUUUUGAAAUUCCGCAUUCAUCUGAGCUUUGUCCAUCCCUUUGGACUUCUUGACAGCAACCACUGUAUUAUCUGUUAAAACUCCCUUGUAAACAGAACCAAAACCACCCUCCCCGAGUUUCUGAUCAUCAGCAUAAUUGUUGGUUGCCUUGGCCAGCUCUGCCUCGCUGAAAAUCCGUACUCGUUGAUUCUUUAAAAAUUUUCCCCCGUUCUCUUGGAAGUUCUUGUCCUUUAUUCUUUUCGUGCAGAUCAUGUAGAGUAGCAGACAAAUAACCACGAGGAAAAUGCUUGCGCCAACGGCUGCAAGCAAAUGUCAAAGAAGGACGUUAGUUUCAAAAUCAAAUGAAGGGAAAAUAUUUAUUUACUAACUUUCAAAAUCAAAGAAGGACGUUAUAAUUGAUCGCAAGCCUCCUGAUGUUUUAUUUUUUAAUUUAUUUUGAUCCCUCGAACUAUCAAGUCAAGUUAAAAUCAAGCCUUCGUUAGCCUUCCGAUCAAAAGCUACUUCAAAUGUCGUGGUCUCCUCAACACCAAUAGCAGCCAGAAGGAGAAGAAAUGAAGCAAAGCUAAAACAAUUAAUCGAAGAACACGAGAGAGAGAAUGGGGGGGGGGGGAGUUUUUUUUUAUUUUAAAUAAAACCAUUAAUUUAUAAAAAUAAUUAAUUUUAACCCAUUUUUAGUUUUUUUGUUUGCAAAUCAUGUGAUUCCACGUGUCUCAUUUAAGUAAUUUUUAGAGGGAACCUUAUGGUCAUGAAAACCCUGUACACUUUAUAUAUAUAAACCCUGUAUGCUUUAUAUAUAUAAACCCUGUAUGCUUUAUAUAUAUAACCUUCAUAAAUUAAUAACUCUUAUUGAAUAGUAUUUUUGUUUAAUCCCAACUUAAAUUUGAAGUUUAAACAAUAUAUCUUAAUUAAUUAAUUAAUUUUUAUGGUUUGAAAAGGUAUUAAUUUAUAAUGGUUUAAUUGUAGUUUAAAAAAUCAGUAUUAAAAAAUUAAAAAGUUCAGACCUUUUUAAUUACUAAUUGAUGGCCUUGAGUUUUUCAAAAAACAUGAGAGUAUCCAUAUCUCUCUUUUUUUUACAUCAAAUAUCUUCAAAAUAUGUUUAUGACUUUAUGCACGAAAAUUGUUAGUCUAAUUAUGUACAAUAAAAAACAGGCUAUUCACGUUAGAAUCAUGGGAUUCAUGAAUAGUCACUGUACUAAGCCCGUGAUUUGAUGCGGAGCCCAACUAUUUUCUUACAUAAAAAAUAAUAUUUAUGUAUUGUAAUUGCAUUUCAAAAAAAUUAUAUGAUUUUGAAUUAUAGAUCCAACUAAAAUAAAUAAGUUAAUUUUAAUUUAAUUAGAUGAAAAAAAUUAAUAAUAGAUGAAUCAACAUCCCAUUAAAUAUAUAAAAAAAUAAAAUAACAUAAAAAACUGAUCAACCGGAGUUAGCUGAAUUUCAAUGCUUACAAGAAAAUGCAAAGAAAGCUAAUUACCUGCAAUAAUUGUGAUGAUACCAGUUCCUUUACAGCCUGUUUUACCAUCACCGUGCUUGCCACGUGGACAUCGACAAUUGUAAUCUCCAAUCACAUUCUCGCAAGUACCUUCUUUACAAGGGUUUUUUAAAACCUUGCAUUCAUCUAUAUCUGUUGUAAAUGUUAAAAAUAUUAGUGGAAAAAACCUGAAUAUACAAAUUAAAAAAAAAAAAAAAACUGUAAAAAACAAAUAGUGCCGAAUAAAUAGAAGCAAGAACCAGGUUACCUUGGCAUCCUUCUCGGAGAUAAGGAUUUCCUCCGAACCCUUCAUUGCAUGAGCAACGAUAUCCUUGACCAAUCUCAGGGUAGGUGCAAUUUGCAUUAGCGCCACAAGCAUAUGCACUUCGAUUAGCUUUAGCCUGUUCGCACGUCUCAUUUUUAACGACCCAUUCAAUCACAAUAUCUGCUGUAUAUGCAUCUUUUCCAUAUUUUGGCUUGCGAGAGAGCGGCCAAUCUGAAAUCUUGAAGGAGUUCUUGUCCACUAAAAAUGCGAAUCCACAGAGAUUGAAGUCCGAAACGUUCCUGUAGUUGUAAAAACUUGAUAAUGGAUAAUAAAGUGAUUUGAGGCCCUUGGGGAUUGAGGUUUGGCAGCAUCCAGAACCUGAGCAAGGAUUUCCAUCGGACAUGUUCACAUUUUCUGUGCACAAGGAGAGACAGCCAGUUCCGUACGUGAACUCAUAGUUGGUCAUCCAGGCAUAUGUAUCGCAACCAAUUACUGUGAAUGCAUUUCGGGUGUCUGACAACGUGAAGGGGCCUGAUCCAAGGUUGAAAGACUGUGCGUAAUUUUCUGUCCUGCUCCCAUUUUUGUCAUAGCAGGCGAAAGCAGUGUAUAAGCUGGCACUUAUUGUGCCCUCCAGCACUGAUAUAUUGCGAGCAGGCAUGUUUCUUCGAAAAAACAGUUCAGGUUGCCCAUCAGCGCCUGAACUGCAGUUUAGAAGGAAGUCCUCGUUCAGGGCACAUGUUGGUUCUCCAAUCCCAAAGGGGUAAGGAACACUAACAUCCCCACACUUAUCUUGGCAGCCAGGUUUUACAUCUGCACUUGCCGUUGAUUCUGCUACUGGACACAAUAAUAGCGACACCAUCAUCAGCAAAAACACCCACAUGACUAUGCAACUCCCAACUUAAUAAGUACAGUGAUUGACCCCUAGGAGAUUUGUAUAAAGAAGCUCCAAACCACUAACCUCUGCAACUUCUUUUCUUGUAGAGGACAUAUAUAUAUAUAUAUAUAUAUAAGCUAAUUAACACAGACCACUAAAAAACACGACCAAGUCCAAGACUACAGGGUCGAUAGAGUCUUGAGAGUCCUUUCCUAGAUCUUUCUUUUCAGUUGGCACGCAUACAAAGUCAUAACAUUGACCAAAUCAAAGUCUACAAUUCCUUAUAACAUGUGUGGACAAACUAUGAAAACCCCAGUGAAGUCAUAUCACAGCCACCAACCUCGACGUCUCGGGUACGUAGAGUAAUUAAUGAUUAAGAGGAUUUUUUUAAUUCAUAUUUUAAAAUUAAUAUUUAAUGGAAUUGGAUUUUCUAAUUAAAUACAUUAAUGAUAUAAUAAUAAGUAUGUAUUCUUAAAAUUAUUAAAAAAAAAACUUAAUCUCAAGUGACUUUGAAACUAAUUAAAGAUACAUUGAUUGUUAAGGGAAAACUAUACACAAACACCAAACUAAAUGCUUGUUUGUAAAUGUGGUUUAACCAUGUUUUUUUAAAAUAUUUAUAUUUUUUUAUUUAUAUUUUUAAUUAAUAUUUUAUUAUUUUUAUUUUAUUAUUUUGAAGUAUUCACUACCAGAAAUUCGCUAAAUACCAACGGACUCACCGACAUAAUUUUUUCUGUCGGUAUUUUUCGGUCGAAAUCACCGACGGAACAUUUUCGUCGGCCGAAUUACCGACAGAAAAUUCAGAAUUAAUGAAAAAAGAGCGGGUAGAUGGCGCCAAGGUUUUGGCGGGUGAUUUUGCCGACGGAAUUAAAACCUGGGGCCCGUACGCGUGAUGGGACCUAUUCACCGUCAAUAAUACCGACGGAAUCACCAACGGAUUUGAAAUGCCAGAUCCGUACCGGUGACGUGACCGGUGAACCGUUAAAAACAACCGAUGGAAUCACCGAGGGAUUUGAAUAGCAGGUCCGUGCGGUGACAUGUCGAUUGCCCGUUAGAAUUAUCGACGGUUUCGCCGACUUAUUCACCGACGGAAUAAAACCGUCGGUAAGUCCGUUGGCAAAAGUGAAUAUAUGGCCACUCUGCCGACACUCUCCUCCCCCAUUUCUCCUUCUUCUUCCUAAUCCUAACCCUCCCCAUCUGCAAAUAACCAGCCCCCCUCGCCCCAAAACAAAAAUCUUCUUCAUCUCAGCACAACAAGUUGUAUUUCUUGAAGUUUUGUGGUCACAUCAUCCGUGUUCUGAUUUACCGAUGGAUUUUAUCAUUUUUUAUAAGUAAUUCUAUCUUUUAAAUUUUUAACAUUUAAAUGUCAAUUUUAUUGUUUUUUUAGUAUAUGUAUUUUUUUUUAGUAGAUGUACAUGUUUUAUUGUUAUUUCUCAAACAAACUUGUAGUAUAUGAAUGUAUAAUUUUAUACUUGUUAUGGUUUGUUUUAGAUUUUUUAAGAUUGUAUUUGUUUGUAAAUUGUUAAAACUUAAUUUGUAGAAUUACCGAAUUACAUGUUAUGUUUUGAAAUAAUUAAGAGCUUGCUUAAUGGGUCCUUUUUAUAGAGGUUCGAUAGAAGUCAUGGAUGAUCGUUCAUGGAUGUAUCUAGAUUCAUUCCCGUUACAAACCCAGAACUGGUAGGGGGAAGACUCUAGUGGCAUAUAAAAAACUUAGAUAUUUCCUGAUCACACCUAGACUGCAGAGGUUAUUUAUGUCACCAAGGACUGCUGAGCACAUGACAUGGCACCAAACACACGAUGCCAUUGAUGGUGUGAUGGUGCAUCGUUCUGACGGCGAAGCGUGGAAACGCUUUAACAGUGUUCAUCCUGACUUUUCUGCUGAAUCAAGGAAUGUUCGACUUGGGUUGUGUACAGACGGGUUCAACCCAUUUGGGUCAUUUGCUGCUCCCUAUUCUUGUUGGCCGGUCAUUCUCACAGUUUAUAACUUGCCACCUGGAAUGUGUAUGAGACCGGAGUUCAUGUUUCUAUCUACUGUCAUACCCGGUCCAAGCAGCCCGGGGCGGAAUAUAGAUGUUUGUCUUCGACCGUUGAUAGAUGAGCUGGCGUAGUUGUGGUCCUCCGGAUCUCUGACUUAUGAUAUAUCAAGGAAACAAAAUUUCCUUAUGAGGGCGGCUUUGAUGUGGACUAUCAGUGAUUUUCCAGCUUAUGGAAUGCUUUCUGGUUGGAGCACGCAUGAGAAACUCACAUGUCCAUACUGCAUGGAAAACAACAAGGCAUUCACGCUAGCAAACGGAGGUAAAGCUUCUUUUUUUGACUGUCACCGUCGCUUCUUGCCACUUAAUCACAGGUUCAGAAAGAACAUAAAAGAUUUCUUUGUUGGUAGAGUUGAAAAAGAUGCUGCAUCCCCGCGUCUUUCUGGUGAAGAAUUGCAUCAUGUUGUAUCAGAGUACGGUGACAUUGUGUUUGGCCUUCAAUCAGGUAAGCAAAAGUUUCCUGGUUUUGGUUUGACCCAUAAUUGGGUAAAGCGAAGUAUCUUUUGGGAGCUUUCGUAUUGGAAGACUAAUCUUCUCCGCCAUAACCUUGACGUCAUGCACAUCGAAAAGAACGUGUUUGAGAAUAUUUUCAACACCGUCAUGGAUGUGAAGGGGAAGACAAAGGACAACAUGAAGGCUAGAUUGGAUAUAGCUUUAUACUGUAACCGUAAAAAUAUGGAGUUGGUUUAUGACGAGUCACGGGUUGCAAAACCAAGGGCAAGCUUCGUGUUAGAGAAAAACGCACAACUGCUAGUCUACAAAUGGCUUAAGAGUCUGCGUUUCCCGGAUGGACAUGCAUCGAACAUAUCAAGGCUUGUUAACAUAGAGGACUGCAGAUUGUAUGGAAUAAAGAGUCAUGACUGCCACGUGUUUAUGCAAACACUAAUCCCAUUAGCUUUUCGUGAUUUGUUGCCAAAGAGAAUAUGGGAUGCACUAACGGAGAUCAGUCAUUUCUUCAGAGAUAUAUGCUCCAGCAAGAUGAAUGUUGAGCACAUUGAGAUGCUUCAAACGAAUAUCAUCGAGACACUAUGCAAGCUUGAGAUGAUAUUCCCUCCUUUAUUUUUUGACUCAAUAGAGCAUCUCCCUAUACAUCUACCGUUCGAGGCAAAAGCUGGAGGACCGAUCCAGUAUAGAUGGAUGUACCCAUUCGAACGGUGAGAUAUUACAGUUGCAAUGGAAUUCAUAUCUUAAGGUAUUUUCUAUGUUUUUCUUAAUUGAAAAUACUUGAAUUGUACUUCAAUGCAGGUACUUGUUUAAUCUAAAAAAAAAGGUUAAGAACAAGGUGCAUGUUGAGGCUUCGAUAUCUGAGGCCUAUAUUGUUGAAGAGAUAUCAACAUUUAUCUCGUACUAUUUCGAACCUCAUCUGAGAACAAGAAUCAAUCGCGUUCCACGGCAUGAUGAUGGCGGUGAAGUGCCUUCCAGUGGGAACUCGUCAAUAUUCUCCAAUACUGGACGACCCACACCUAAAAAUGCCGUAAGAGGAAGAUAUUUGUCGGAAAUAGAAUUCAAACAAGCACACAACUAUGUUCUAUUUAACUGUGAUGAGCUGAGACCAUUUAUUCACUAAGUCUAUAUAUGUGUAAUACUAAUUAAACUUUGUCAGUAAUAUACUGUUAAUUAUAUAUUGUAAUAUCAUACACUCGCAGGCAACAUCGACAAUAUUUUCUCUCUAAUAUAUCGCAGCUGACCGAAUCCCUUAUCAAAUGGGAAGGAGUGCGCCCAAGUCAUUGUCUUCACUAAGCCUCGACCCUGAAAGAAAAGUUAAGUGCUACAACGGGUAUUUUGUCAAUGGAUAUGUUUUCCAUACUGAAGAAUACGGGCAAGGAAGAAAGAUAUACAACUGCGGUGUUUGUGUUAAGGGAUCCACAAGUAGCCAGUUAGAAGUUGACUACUAUGGUAGAUUAGAAGAGGUCGUCGAACUGCAAUAUCAUAGCGAGCAGAAUAAAGUGUUUUUAUUCAAAUGCUAUUGGUAUGAGACGACGGACAGAGGAAUUAGAGUUGAUCCGCACCAUGGUUUGGUCGAAAUCAACUCAAAAGCUAGACUCUGCAACAUAAACGAUGUCUUUGUUUUCGCAAAGCAAUGUCAACAAGUUUAUUACACAUACACCCCUUCAUUUAGAAAGGAUCGAUCAAGAGUUGAUUGGUUGUCCGUUUUAAAAACGAAACCACGGGGUCGUGUCGAGGUUGUUCAGGAUGAGAACGAAGACACAAGUGUGCGAGAUGAAGUCUUUCAAGUUCGUGAGUUGGUUGAAUCAUAUCGAGUUGCUCCUUCGAUUGAAUUGGAAGAAAAUUCAAAUUUUCGAGUUCUCGAUGAUAGUCUUGUUGAUAUUCAAUGAGAGGAGUUGAAUGUUGUUCUCAGCUCAAGCGGACAAGCAAAUGUCGAUGAAGAAGAUGAUAUCCAUAUUGAAGAUUGCGAUGAAGAUGAUGACAAUUCAAUUGAUGAGGAAGAAGAAGAAAAUUCCGACUAAUUAUGAAAAUGAAGCCCUAUGUAAAAACAAUUGUCUCAUGUAAUUUAGAUUAUAGAUGAUGUAUUUUGUAAAACAAAAUAUUUAUUGUUUAAGCAAUGUGGUUAUUGUUUUAUGUGAUGGACAGUUUAUCAGUUAAGUUUUUGCAGGAAGGUAAACAGGCAAUACAAAGACAACUUUUCCUGCAUAAUGCAAACUUACCGACGUCCAUACCGACGGAUAACCAUCCGUCGGUAUCUCACAGAGAGUUCGAAAUUAAUUACGCGAAAUGCCACCAACACCGACGACAUUACCGACGGAUUCACCGACACCUACACCGACGGAUUCUAGUCUGUCGGUAUAUCACAGAGAGUUCGAAAACAAUUACAACAAAAUGUCACCUUCACCGACGGAUAUACCGACGUCAUUAAAUCCGUCGGCAUCUCACAGAGAGUUCGAAAACAUGGAACAAUCAUCGACGGGAAUACCGACGGAUUAUAGUCCGUCAGCAUUGUUGCUACCCAAUUUUUGACCCAUGUUUUGAUAUAUUUUAAAAAAUCCAAAAAAUUGAGAAAAACAAAGAAAAUCCAAAAAUAUGUUUUUUAAUAUAUUUUCGUCAUUUUAACAUUUUCAACGUCGUCUAAAAAAGAAUUUAAAUUGUUAAAAUAUUUUCAAACGCGUUCGACUUUUCACGUGUGAUUUUUAAAAUCAUUGAUUUUCCGCAUUUGAGUCGACGUUGAUAUUGCUCGUUUUCAAAAAAUAUAAAAAAAUAAGAAAAAUCAAAAUUUACAAAAAGAAAGAAGUUGAGGGACCAAGUUGAAAAACUUGGCAACAUUUUUUCCUAUAAAUAUUGGUCUUUAACUCACACAAAAGGGGGGGGGGCUAAUUUUGGAAACACAAAAAAAAUAACAACAAAAAAACCCUAAACCUAAAAGAUUUGUUUUCUCUGCAGCCGUUGAACCAAGCCAGCCCCCCCCCCUCACCUUUUGAAAUUUUUUUUUUCUCUUCUCACUCAAUCGGCCAAACAGCCCCUCCCCGGUUUGAAUCAUUCUCCAAUCCCUGGCCGUUCCUUUCCCUUCUCAAUAGCAGCGCCUCCCAACUCUGUUCCCAAUUCCCAGCCAACGAAAGCCAAAAAGAAAGCCAUAGCCAGCCGGCGUCCCUCAGCCUUUGAAGAAAAAGAAAGCCAUAGCCGAUCCCCCAUCAUCAGAUUUUUUCCCUUCUUCUCAGCCACUUCACAACCCCCCUCCCCCACCGGACUUUUGAUUUUUUUUCUUCCCCUUGGUUCUGAUUUUUUCAGACCACGCAGCCAUCCCAGCUCUUCUUCUCCUCCCCACUUCUCCCAACGCCAGCUCUCCUCUCACCGUUCACCAGAGAUUUCUUCCUUCACAGGCCCGGCGCCUCAUAGGUUCUCUCUCUCGGCCACGAUCUCCACCGCCUCUCGCCGCCCGUCAUUUGGGCGAACCAGUGGCGUCUCCGCAGUAGCGCCGUCCAAAGAUCCAGCAGACCCAGCUCCACAGAACCGGCUUCCACCGAGCCACACAGCAGCAGACGAUCUCCCCACCGACCGGACAACCACUCCUCACUCCACAGCAGGUCGGCCACAGAAGAAGAAGAAACCCACGGACUGAUCUGCAACGAAGAAGAAGAGAAAGAGGAGCAGAUCGAAAACGAUGCAGAUCUAAAAAAGGAACAAAAACAGAUUUGAAAUCAAAGAAAAAAACUAAAAUCGACUGCUGUGUGUUUAUUUCCUUGUUCUGCAGAUCACCGAUGGUUUAGGAAGACAGGAGAAGAAGAAGCUGUCUGGACCAGCUGUUUUCCAGCUCCUUCUCACGGUGGCGCGUGCACCCACGCACCGCCAGUGGCGGGGGCGCGUGGGAAGACGCGCCGCCAGUGAUUUCUGCCCCAGCAGCCUUCCCGAGCACUGUUCCUGCGGUUCUAAGUGGACUUCCCUGCACUUCUUGGACUAUUUAGGGACUGUUUUGUAGUUUUAGAAUUGUUUAAUGUAAUUUGUUUAGUUUUGAUUUUUUUUGUAAUUUAUAUUUUUGUAAAUAUGGAUGUAAAAGAAAAGAAAAGAAAAAAGAAAAAAGAAAAGAAAAGAAAUAAAAAAAAUAGUGAAAGUGUAUGUGUGGGUUUGUAUUUGUUUUUUAUGAAUGUUUUUUUUAUUUUUCUUAUGAUAAAAUUGCAAAGAUUAAAGAAGAAUUUAAUAUUUUGAUUGGAUCACGGUCCAGAUUUAUUAACUUAUACGUAAGUUGUAUUUCUAAUUUCCGAUGAAAAGACAAAAUUUUGAAACUUCUUUAACACGUCAAAAAUCACGAAGCAGCUUACCUCAGGUAGGGUGCGUUAGGGGUGCUGAUACCUUCCCUAACCACAACCAGUCCCUUACCCGCGAGUCUCUGACAAGACCAGUACAUCAGGUUUCCUAGUAGCCCUCAAUAAAUUACUAGGUGGCGACUCCAACAAACCAAUUCAAGCAACGAACGCAACAUACGAGAUUUAAAUCGCCAGCCGAUGCCGCGCGCUGAUUUGAUUUUUUUUUGGGGUGCGACAGAAUGGCGACUCCACUAGGGAAGGUAUUUUUUCGAGUAUUGGACUAAGCUUUGUGUAUUUGAUGUGUUUAAGUUUUUGCAUUUUUAUCUUUUUAUUAAUAUUUAUUUCCAUGCAUUUUAUAGAAUUGUUUCAUGCAUCACCUGUAUUUAUUUUUAAAAGCACACACAAGCUUCUAGGUUAGGUGGGGAACUAGCGAUCUGCCCUAAGACUAUCGGUCAGGGUUCAGAUGCGUGAAACACCCAACUCAUAUCUGAGUGCCUGCUUGGUAAUGGUGGGUAUACGUGCCUUAACCAUUCCUUGCAACGCCCCCAUACUGUCUUUACGAAGAACGUCACUGGGCAGAUAUGAGACCCUUUUGAGACCAGAUAGAAAACCUAUCCAUGUUCACAUAAUGAAUAGAACCUGUCCUUAGGUUGUAUGUGCUAUCGUUUUUUGCAUAAGAGCAAACCCUUCUUGAAGCAUCUUGAACUCAAGACUUAUUGGUGACACAUUGGCCGUUGCUCCGAAAAUUUUCAUUGUAGAGUUUGGGCAAAAAUCACGAUUCUUGUCCAUCAUACAAGAGUUACGACCAUAUUGUCACCUCUUGAAGGGUGAGUUCAUCAUAUAGAUUACAUGUUCAUACAUUUGUCAUGCAUGCACCGGGUUGAAAAGUAGGUUCCCCCGCACAAGCUGUGCUGCAAGGGAUUAAAGAAAGGAUGGAAGUGAAGAAAGAUGUCAAAUAGAGGCUCAUUAUCAGUUUGAGUGUGAGAGCAUCAAAGGUGAAGUAGUUGGACUCAGAUCUGCUCGAACAAGUGUUGAGCAUCAAAUGGAAAGAGAAUGUCUGCAUAGUCUUCUUUGGGAACACUGUUUGUCCACGUCCAAUUGAAGUUGCCUCUCCUUUUCAGUCAUGAACAACAACAACAAUGCCUUCAAUCAUCAACUAAUGACAACUCUGAUUCCUGUCCAGUUGCGCUGUUAAGUAUUCAUCGCCUCCACAUCAUCUAAUGGAACCAAACGACUACUAGCCUCCUGUUCAUGGUGCAUUAGUCUGCUUUGAAGUUACCCCAAUUAUGAGCUCAAUUCCAGUUCAACAGCACAAGAUGGUUUGAAAAACCAUGAUUAAACACUGAACUUCAAUGUGGCAGAGCUCUCUCUACAAAAAUCCAUUUAUGGAUCUGCCAAUUGGGAAUGCAAGAGGGGAUUUAUAAGUUGCAUAUGCUACAAAUAUUUCUCUCAUCAGUUUCAGCACGAAGACCUUUUAGUAGGUUGAAGAGCCAGACCUGGUCCGAAAAAUAUGAGCAGACAUCAAACUUCAACGUAGCAAAGCUCACUCAACAGGAAUCUGUUUGUGGAUCCGCAAGUGGGAAGUCCAAGAAGGAAUACAGUAGUUUCAGGUCAUCUAUGAUUUUCCUCCAACAGUGUCAGUAUUAAAACGCAAAAGUAGAGAGAGACAUGCCUAGACUGAAAAACAUGAAGAAUACUGAAACUUCAACAGAGCAGGACUUCCUCUAUAGGUGUUUGUUUGCUGCACUGUCAGUGAGAAAUCGAAGAAGGGACAAAGGAGUUUUAGAUUCAUCAGGUGCUCUUCCAAUAGAGACAAUGUGUGAUUCCACACGUCGGUAGUGGCGAUACUACAAGUUUCUGGGCGCUGCCAAGAUUACCAAGCUGUUAGAAAGUUUUCUAACAAUCCUCAACCAACCAUAGCAACAUUGGAGGAUUGAAAUAAUGUUGUGAGGAUUUGCCGAAGAAUUGAACAAGCUAUGAAGAGAAGAAAGAUUGAAGGAUCUGCCAUGGAUUUUAGAACAAUGAUGAGAUGUGAAUCAGGAGAUGACUUUGACGGUGUGAGCCCUUUAAUUAUGUGGUAUAGCCAGGUCUCACGGUAGCAUCAAUUGCUCAAAUAUCUUUGCCAAGAUGGGACAUUCCUCUGCCAUUUAAGUUUGUCGACCAGCAUCUGCCAGAUUCCAGAAUUUUGCUUGACUCCGACAAAUCCUAUGCAACCACCAUUUUCUGGGUGGUUUAAUCCAGACAAGAUGUGAUGUCAUGAUGGGGUUCUCAACCAUUUCAAUUGAGCAAUUGCAAGAAUGGCAACAAUUGAGUCUGAAAGUUGGUGAGCAAGGGAUAAAUGGAGCUUGCAAAGGAGGGUGUCAUUGGCUAUAUUGUCCCCCGAACAUCAUCAAAAUGACAUGUGAUCGAAAGUGCUUGGCAAAACACAGAUAUUGCCAGAAAAGCUGAUUCGAGAAUGGUGAUGAACAGUCAAUCAUAUUGUUAUGAAAUUCUGCAUUUUGUUUUGGGAUCACAUCUCAUCCUUCAACGAAACAUGCCUUGCUUUUGUCUCUUUGUUGUUUUGAAAUCAACAGAUGUUUAGCAUUUUAUUCUGACAAAAUAUUUUGAUCAAACUCCAACAUGCGAUAAAGGUUAAUCAAUCCGGAAGAUUAGAAGUGUUUUGAUUACAGAAAUGACUCUAUGCUUGAAAAUGACAUGGGGUGACCAAACAAUUUUGAACUCAUACCUUUUGAAACUGAACCACACAUCAUAUAGCUAAGUUUUAGCAGUAUGCAUAAUGACAUGUAGUGGAUUCAAUAGUUAUGGACUCGUGAAUCAUGAUUCUUGCAAGUACAAAUCAUUACACUAGAUGACGUCAAAAUUUAUCGGUUCUAACCGACCUUGCUUGAAAUGAGAAAAUGCCAUCUUUGAUAUCUCUUCACUUUCUAAAAAUUAUAUCCCUUGUAGUCCCAUUUUGAGCUUGGUGAGAUAUUUUCUUUCAAAAGGAAACCCUGACUAGGAUCACACCCCAUACUGGGGGCAAAUGAGAAAUGUUUUGGAGACACAGAUAAAAUCAAUGGAUCAAAGAAAAGUUUAGAACAAAAGUCCAAUGUUUGAGAAAGGGCUAGAAGAAGAAAAUCCAUAGAUUGAGGGUCAUCCAAGAAAAACUUUGAGGAAGGCUAUGCAAAAAAAUGGAAAGGAAAUGUAAAGGAAAGAAAAUGCCUAUCAAUUCUAAAGAGAGGCAAGAUAGUUUUCGAUUGAGAAAAGACAAUAAUUGCCGAAAGUCAACACUAGAAAAAUCGAUGCUUCAUAUUUCUUGGUGUGUCUAGGAUAAAGCCUCUAAUGUCUUCAAAAUUAGAUUAGUUAUUCAUCAAAGAAAAAGUUGGAUUUACAUUAUGACCUAUGUUAAGAGAAUUCUGAUAUUUGAGAUUAACAGGGUUAUAUGUCACUUUCUCUACAAUGACAACAAGAGAAAGAGAAUCGAUGAAUAGUUAAUGUUGGUCCUAGGUCGUUGAAACCCUCAAACACCUUUUGAGCCUAUUGAAAUUCUUUUCUUUCAUAGCCAUGAACCAUAGCCUACAUUACGUGCUUUUAAAAGCCCUUUUUGAUCAAGUAAACAAUCUGAACCGAUAAAUGGCGCUCUCAAAACUUGAAGAGCUUUUCCAUAAGGGUCGUGACUUCAUGAAUUAGGCUACUGGUUAUUAUGCAUGCUUGUCGCACCCGACAUCGCGGCGGCCUUAAAAAUUAAUUCUUGAAUUAUGGAAAAAGAACCGAUUUCAUGCAUCGUGUUCUUUUAGGGGAAAAGGUCUUUAUUUAAGGAGUCGCCACCUAGUAUUAUGGUCACUAGGAACCCUAACUGGUCCACAGAGAUUCUAUGAUCCGAGACUGGUUACGUAGAAGGGAAGAUAUUAUCACCCCUUAAACGUCCUACCUAAGGUAGGCUGCAUUGCUGGUCUUUGUUAUUAAUUGCUAACAUCUUUAUUGGUUUAUACUAUGAUUUCUUGUGUACAAUAUUCCUGACUCUGGUGCCAGUGAAUAUUCAACUACGUAUAUUUCCAACUCUGGCGUUGGUAAAUAUUACGUAGGUAUCAAAAUAAAUUCAUAUCAUCAUUUUUAUUAUAUUCCUGACUCUGGCGUCAGUGAAUAAACAAGUAGAAAUCAAUUUUUUUUUUUUUAUGCAUGCGAAACAAAAUAAAAUAAAUUUAUCCUAGUAUUUUUUUUUUAUUCCCGACUCUGGCGUCGGUGAAUAUACUAAAUAAAUUUAUCCUAUUUUAUCUUAUGUGAAUAAAAAAUCAAUUCAUUUCUUUAUCAAAUUAUUUUUUUAUGCAUGCGAAACAAAAUAAAAUAAAAUAAAUUUAUCCUAGUAUUUUUUUAUUCCCGACUCUGGCGUCGGUGAAUAUACUAAAUAAAUUUAUCCUAUUUUAUUUUAUGUGUUUUUUUUUGUCAAUGAAUAAAAAAAAUUCAUUUAUGUAUAUAUUUUUUACAUACACAAUUUUUAUUAUAUAUUUUUAAUAUUUUAUAUUUUUUACCUUUUUUUUAUUUAUUUUUGGCCUGGGCUGGGCUAAAUCCAACCCAGCAAGUAUAUAUAUUAGUGGCUGGGCUCAGCUCAGCCCCACAAGGGCUGGGCUGAACCCAGCCAGCCCGGCCCGGGUCACUGGCCCAAGCCAGUGACCUGGCUACACAAGAUGCACGCGUGAAACAGAUCACGCGUGCAUCAACAGUGCGAAGGUAAUUAAAUUACCUUCGCACUGUUCAAACAAUUAUUUGAACACGAAGAGCAGAGAAAAAAUGGAAAAGGAAGCGAACCUGUUUUUGGAGAUUGAAGAAGAUUGCAACGCUGGUUUGGCCGCUUUGAGUUGACUGCUUUCUGUUUCUGGCGAUGCUGAGGCAGGUUGAGGCGACGGUGUGGCUCGACUGCUGUCGAUACACGACGUCGGGCGACGGCUCCGCUCAUUUUUGUUUAUUUAACAAAAAAGAGAUUGUUUAAUUGGGGGAAUGAAAAUUAUAUUGGAGUCGCCAUCUAGUAAUUUGAGGGAACUAGAAAUCCCAAAUUAGACACUGGUCCCAGAGAUUCAGGUACUGGGUUAGUUAUGAUUAAGGGAAGGUAGACACCAUCCUUAAAACAUCCUUUCAAAAGAAAGGUUACCCUUACUUGUGUGUUUUUUUUUAUUUGAUUUAAAUGCUAUUAUAUUUUGAGCUUAUUUGCAAUUUUGUUUUUUUUUAUGGUUAACGUCGGUCCCUAAAAAUAGGAGACACGUUAAAAAUGACAUCAGUCCCUAAAAAUAGGAGACUUGUCUAAAAUAUUGACGUUUAACCCUAAAAAGGAGAAGUACGUCUGAGUUACCAAAAAACUAUGGACAUAAUCCAUAUUUGGGUAUUUAAACUUUUGACAUCGGUCCUUUUUAAAAAGAGACGUGUCGACAAAAUAUUUGUUUAUAAAAAAAAUAUUUUAUAUCGUUGAGAUAUGGGUAUAACUAUAUUUGAAAAUUGGGCUUUGGACCCACGAAUGAUGACAUAAUAGGAUGGGUGUUGGACCCGCGUUGUUAUUUUUUUUUUAUUUUUUUGUUUUACAACAUGCAAGAAAAUUUAUAUACAAAAUAAAAAAAAUAUUAGCAAUCUAAAUAAAAUUACAUGAGUGACACAGUAUAGGUAAAAGACUGAAAUACCCUCGGAUUUAUCAGAAAUUACGAAAAUGCCACUGGCGGCGCGUGUGUCACGCGCGUCACUGUUGGUGGCGACGAGAUUUUCAGGCGAGAUUUCUGGCCAACCGAUGGUCGGUUCUGGUAGAUCUGAGGUCGAGGAUUCUGUUGGUGGUGGUCUCGACGGUCGUUGAUGGCUGACGAGGGAGAAUCGUCGACUUGAAGCUUCGGUGGCCGGCGAGAAUCGCGGCCUUUUUCCGGCCAGAUGAGGCGGCGAAAACGGUUAAAACCACCGGGGUUUGCUUUAAACAGUGGAUCAACCUUUCUGUGGUGGUUGGAGGUGAUAUGGCCGGAAAGUGGAGAUCGAGGAGAGAGAGAGAGUCGCCGGCGAGAGGAGAGAGAUGCUCCGAGAUUUGCUACGGUGCGGACGCGUGUAUGGUGUACCGGUGCCGCUGAAGGAUGUUAACCGUUGGAUCUUGGAUGAAACGAUCGGAUGGCUGUGAUUGGCUAGAUCAGCAGGUUGAUCGGACGGCCCAGAUUGUCUGGUUUUGAUCUGUGUGGCGCGGUGCACCGAAAGCUCGGUGCACCGGAUGACGUGGCGCAACGGAUUAAAUCCUGGAAUAUGUUAACGGCUGAGAUGUGUUGGGAUAUGUUUGGUAUUUUUUAAAUUGUUUUUUUUAAAAGACAAUAUCCUACUCUCCUGAAGAAAAACUAAAAAAUUAGAAUUAUCAAUCGAUUCUUUCUUUUUUUUUCUUUUCUCUUCCUCCUUUUUUUUUUUUCUUGCCCCCCUCUCGUGGCUAUUUAUAGCCACGGGACAACAACCAUAAAAUUCUAUUUUAUUAUAUAUAAUAAUAAAUAAUGCACACAACUACCAUAAUUUUGUUUUAUUAUAUAUAAUAAUAAAUAUUGCACACAACUACCAUAAUUUUGUUUUAUUAUAUAUAAUAAUAAAUAUUUACAUGGGUAAAACUAAAAAUUCAAAUCAGUAUUAGAAAAAUCCCGUUUCAACCGCCAAAAAAUGGAAUACCAAAAAAAACAUUUGAUGGGUAUCGACCCGAUGAACCGGGUUUUGGUCGAAAAUGACGGUUUUGACCCAAGACAGCCCGAAACUCAUUUUUUACCCUGGUCGACAUGGUAUGACCCGUAUUGACCCGGUGAACUCGGUUUUGGUCGAAAAUGAUGUUUUUGACCCGAAACAGCCCGAAACUCAUUUUUUACCCUGGUCAACAUGGUAUGACCCGUAUUGACCCGGUGAACCCGAUUUUGGUUGAAAAUGAUGUUUUUGACCCGAAACAGCCCGAAACUCAUUUUUUACCCUGGUCGACAUGGUUUGAAUGAAGAGAUGCGGUUGACUCGAGAGAGAAAAAAAAUAUUUUUAAAUUUUCAAAUUUUUCUUAAUGUUUUUUUUGGAUUUUUUGAAAAUAUAUAAAAAACAUGGGUCAAAAAUUGGGUAGCAACAGAUGCCCCCUCUUUACAAUGCUUACGAAGCAAAAAUCCUCGAUGUUUUGCAUAGUAAGCUUUGUAAAGAAAAAAAACUUGUCUUUCUGUCUCUCUUUUUUCGUUAACCUGAGAUCCCAUCUGGCGACCUCCUUUACCAAAACCAAAGAAUGUGUAAAACGUGGUCUCAUUGUAAUGGGUAACCAACCCAGGUGGAAAGAAUGUGAAAAAAAAAUGGUCUCAUUAUGAUGGGUGACCUACCCAAAGGAGAAGUGGUCUCAUUGUAAUGGGUACCCAAAAGGUGAAAAAUGUGAAGUGUGUCUCAUUGUAAUGGGUGACCUACCCAGAUGGAAAAAAAUGAAGUGGUCUCGUUGUGAUGGGCGACCUACCCAAAUAGAAAGAAUGUGAAGUGCGGUCUCAUUGUAAUGGGUGACCUACCCAAAAAUGGAAAAAAUAUGAAGUGUGGUCUCAUUGUAAUGGGUAACCUACCCAGAUGGAAAAAAUGUGAAGUGCGGUCUCAUUGUAAUGGGUGACCUACCCAAAAAUGGAAAAAAUAUGAAGUGUGGUCUCAUUGUAAUGGGUGACCUACCCAGAUGGAAAAAAUAUGAUGAAGUGGUCUCGUUGUGAUGAGCGACCUACCCAAAUAGAAAGAAUGUGAAGUAAAGAAUUUUGUGAGUGGUCUAAUUGUUCCAGGCGACCUGCCCGAUGAUAAAAUGCGAGGAAACUCGCAAGUGGUCUAAUUGUUCCAGGCGACCUGCCCGAUGAUAAAAUGCGAUGAAAAUCGCAAGUGGUCUAAUUGUUCCAGGCGACCUGCCCGAUAAAUGAAAAAAAAAAUGCGAGGAAACUCGCAAGUGGUCUAAUUGUUCCAGGCGACCUGCCCGUUGAUAAAAUGCGAGGAAACUCGCAAGUGGUCUAAUUGUUCCAGGCGACCUGCCCGAUGAUAAAAUGCGAUGAAAGUCGCAAGUGGUCUAAUUGUUCCAGGCGACCUGCCCGAUUGAUAAAAUGCGAGGAAACUCGCAAGUGGUCAAAUUGUUCCAGGCGACCUGCCCGAUAAAUGAAAAAAAUGCGAGAAAACUCGCAAGUGGUCUAAUUGUUCCAGGCGACCUGCCCGAUGAUAAAAUGCGAUGAAAAUCGCAAGUGGUCUAAUUGUUCCAGGCGACCUGCCCGAUGAUAAAAUGCGAUGAAAGUCGCAAGUGGUCUAAUUGUUCCAGGCGACCUGCCCGAUUGAUAAAAUGCGAGAAACUCGCAAGUGGUCUAAUUGUUCCAGGCGACCUGCCCGAUAUGAAAAUGCGAGAAAACUCGCAAGUGGUCUAAUUGUUCCAGGCGACCUGCCCGAUGAUAAAAUGCGAUGAAAAUCGCAAGUGGUCUAAUUGUUCCAGGCGACCUGCCCGAUGAUAAAAUGCGAUGAAAGUCGCAAGUGGUCUAAUUGUUCCAGGCGACCUGCCCGAUGAUAAAAUGCUUGAAAGUGAAUGAGCUUCAGGGUUGAUGAAAACUUCUAAAGGAAGUCAUACCUGUACGGUUGAGAUUUGAUCUGUAAAUCGAUCUCAAAGAUGAUGUAAGCUUUCACGAAAGUCGUAUAUGUAAAGCUGAGAUCUGAUUUGCAAAUCAAUCUCAAAGAUAACACUCAAGAAAGUCUUACAUGUACAGUUGAGAUCUGAUUUGCAAAUCAAUCUCAAAGACGACGCUCAAGAAAGUCUUAUAUGUACAGCUGAGAUCUGAGUUGUGAAUGGAUCAGGAAAGCUUCUCAAGAAAGUCUUGUAUGUACGGUUGGGAUUUGAUUUGUAAAUGGAUCCCAAAAGAUGAGGAAAGCUUCCCAAGGAAGUCUUGUAUCUACGGCUAAGAUCUGAUCUUCUAUUGAAAAUGAUGGCCGGAGCAAAUUCCCUAUAAAUCACGCAAUAUUGGGCAAAAGACAUCAUCCACUUCUCACAUUUUCAAUACUCUCAAAGUUCUUAACUUUUGAAGUUUUAACCAUGUCUUCCUCUUCUUCCAAUGCUAAUCCAAACCUUGUUCCUGCGGCAGAGCCUGUAGUUUGGCGUACAACCUUUGAAGUGAAUGGUCGUCCAGUUACAAUAGAGGAUACUGUAAUGGACGAUGAAGAUACCGCUGUAGCCGUGGCUAGAGACAUGAUCCUUCCUCGUGAUGAAAUGAUGCUGGCAGCGAGGACCGAUAUUGAAGCAGUGAAUCAGUCACUUGCUCUUAGUAUCAGAGCUACUUCGUCUUUGGUGAAUGUUGCGGAGCGUCUUCAUGCCAGAAGACUUGAGUUGAAUACUCAAAUUCCUGAGCUCCAUAAUCAGAUUGAGAAUUUAAGGAAAAGGCUCCAUGAUGAGAGACGUUACAGGAACGAAUUGGAGAGGAGAAACCAAGAGCUCAAUGCACGUGUUGACUUUUGGAGGGACUAUGUUAACACUCGACACCUCGAGUUCGAGGAAGAGAUGGAGCGCAUGCAUAAGCAAUUUGAGGAAUUCCGAGGCAUGAUUGGCCAUCAAGAUGAAAAUAUCCCUAAUCGUCCUCACAGUGUUUAACGUUUGUACUUGUAAACCAUUAUGCCUAUGAAUAAAAAUCCAUCUUCUCGUCUUCAUUCAUGAAUUUUGCCUUUGUGGAAUUGCCAUAUUUGAUAUGAUUUAAAAGAACUUCAAUUCAUCUUUGUCUCGUUGGAUCCCAUGAGGAGUUUUGUUUCGAGAGAUAUCUGCAAAACAAAUAUGCGAUGCUUGUGAAGUGAGAUGAUAUGCAAUGCAUCUUACCUGUUUUUGAAAUAUAGAUCCCCGUUCAUCUUGUUUGAGGGUUUUGACUUUGAGUGAGCUCUUUUGAUUUACGCGUACUUCAAGUCUACUCAAGCUGACCCAUGUUGUCCAUUUUUUGAGUUUCCCAACAGUCACUGCACGUUUCUCUAUUGGUAACUUCACUAAGAGAAUCAGCUUCUCCGUGGCCCGACAUUGUCCUGAGAUUUCAUCUGCAUUUCUCUUACUGAAGAUGUAUCAGUUAUCUUGUUGUCUAACUGAUCAUAUUGUAAGAGUCAACAAUCUCCUUUCAUAGAUACUGAAAAUCAUACUAUUUCAGUCCGCAUGCUAGAAGAAGUCCACAGUUUUAUCAUGUGUAUUUUCCACUAGGGAAGCAAAUUUCUUUGUGUUUAAGGAUCUGGUAACUGCUUCUCUGCCCCCUGGGAGAAUUAACUGCCUCAUUUCAUUUCCUCCUUUGCUCUUGUUGUCAUUAGAAUCUCUGAUUUUCUAAUGGUGCCUUAGUGUUAUAUUCAUUUUUCUUACAAAGAAAACCUUUUUUCAAAAAUGAUUUUUUAAAAGAUCUGUUUUGUUCCGAAAACUGAAACUCUCAAUGUCUGUUUAUAACAAUGUUCAGGCAAUUCUGGGGCUUUAUGUCAAAUCUCUUGGUAAAAGUAAUCUAAGAUGAAGGUAAGUGAUGAGAUGACCUUCUGCUUUGGUUUUCAAAGUGUUCAAGCGAUUGCUUGAAGGUAUUUUGAGAGAAAAGAAACAAUUUGCCUUUUAUCUUUAGAAACACUCUUUUUAACAGCAUGAAUAAUAAUGAGUAAUUAUUUGCUAUGCUAUGACUCUUUUGGAAAAGUCUCUUAUUUUGAGAACGCCGUUUAUUGAUCCAGGUCGCUUACUUGAUUAGAAAGGACUUCAAAGGCACGUAAUGUAUUUAUGGCUCAAGGCUAUAAAAGAAAGAGUAUUCCAUAAGCUCAAAAAGUGUUUAAGGGCUUAUAAACUAUAGAUCACUAUUAUCUUGUCUUGGCAUUUUCUUUUGCUACCUUGACAACAAAAAUGAUGAUGAAUAUUCCAAAUGAGGAACUUCUGUUUUCUUUUUUGUUAUUCCCAUAUUUGUUAGGAAUUCUCUCAAUUGUUUGGAAUUUAAUUGAAUUCUUUGUUGUCAGACUUUCUUUAAAGCUCACAUGCCUUCAAGACAAUUUUCUUAAUCAUAUUUCUCUUUUUGCCCCCUAGUGUAGGGUGUGAUCUUAGUUAAGGUUCUUGUGAAAGAAAAGGCUUUAAAUAGACUCAGCUCAAAUUGGGACUGCAAAGGAUAAUUUUAAAGAAAGUGAAAGGAAUAUCAAAGAUGGCCUUUCCUCAUUUCAAGUAAGAUCAGUUAAAACCAAUAAACUUUGUCCAUAUCCAACGUAAUGCUUUGGAUUUGUAAGAUACCAUGUUUUGCGAGUCCAUGACAAACUAAUGUACUACCAACCAUUAUUCAUGCUGAUAAAAUGUGGAUCCAAGACAUAAUUUGGGUGAUAGUUGUUCCAAUUGCAUGUUUUUUUUUUUUUUACUUGUUUGGUCAUCUCUUUCAAGGGAAUUGCUCUGAACAUUAUUCCAAACAAAUCAUUGAUUUAUUUCAUUGAAAUCACAAACAAAAUCAGUUCUUUUAAAACCUCAUUUAAGAAGAAUGGAUUCUCCUGUAAAAAAAGUUUGAAAGAUCAAAUUGUUGAGCAUUGAGAUCAUGCAUGAGGCUUUUUGGUGAGGUAUAAUGCAAAGGAAUUUCCUGGCCAAAACUUUAUUGAUUUGAUUGGAUGAAACCAAUCAUACAUAAUACUUUUUCACAGAAUCAGAGUUCACAGGCCUAGGUAAAUCAUCUCCAUCCAUCCUACUUAACAACAGAGCUCCUCCAGAUAGUGUUUUCUUCACUACAUAUGGGCCUUCAUAGUUUGGUGCCCACUUGCUUCGGUCUUCACUUGGUAAUGGCAAGAUUUUCAUAGUACAAGAUCCCCUUCUUUGAAUUCUCUUGCAUGAUUGGGCAAAGGGUUGGACUUCACAUUUGGUGCAUCAUCAAAAGAUAUCCAUCCAGCUUUUAUCAAUUGCAAAAGCUUGUUCUUAAAUGCAUUACAACUUUCAAUGUUAUGCCCAGCAGCGCCAGCAUGAUACUCACAUUUCAGAUCUGUCUUAUACCAAUUUGGGUAUGGAGGUUGCAGUGGGGUUAAGGGAAUAGGGGCUAUUUGCCCAAUACUCAACAACUUCGAGUACAUUUCUCCUAAGGGAAGUGGUAAUGGUGGCAGUCGUUCUUGGGUUCUUUGAAAAUUCCUUCUUGGAGGAUUAACAAUCUGGUUACUUUCUUGGUUAUUUGGUUGAUUUUGUUGGUUGGUAGGGAAAUGUUUAGUGAAGUUUACACUUGCAACUUGUUGGGUAGGUAUUUGGAAGUUAUAAUGAUAGUAAUUCUUUUUCAUACCCUUAUACACUUCUUCCACAUUGUUCACAUCGGCAUCCUUUUUCCCAGUAAAGCCUUUCUUCUCAGUAGGCUCUGACAUUCUCCCCGCUCUUAUCGCUUGUUCUAUUCUCUCAGCGAUAGUUACAGCAUCAUAGAAAUGCUGAGCUGAACUACCCACCAGGUGUUCAAAGUAUGGAGAUUUAAAAGUGUUAGAAAACAGAGUGACCAUUUCUUUUUCUAACAAAGAGGGUUGCACAUGCGAUGCUUUUUCACGCCAUCUCAAAGCGUAUUCUCUUACAGUCUCUUUGCUGCCCUUCUCCAUGACUAACAAGCUUGACCUGUCCGGGGCUACCUCCAUGUUGAAUUUAUACUGCUCCACAAAGGCUUUUACCAAAUCUUUCCACUUUCUGAUCUUGGUGUUAUCCAGCCUUGUAUACCAGCUUAAUGCCGAUCCAGAAAGACUGUCUUGAAAGAAAUGGAUGAGAAGUUUCUCAUCAUUCACUACUUCUGCCAUCUUAUUGCAGUAAGAUUUAAGAUGCGUGACUGGGCAUUCAGUUCCCGUAUACUUGAUGAAUUCUGGUACCCUAAAUUUUCUGGGUACAACUACAUUUGGAACUAAACACAUUUCUGCAGCAUAAACAGGAUCAUAUAAGUCUGCCCCUUCUACUGCCUUCAAUCUCUCUUCCAGAGCGGUCAAUUUAUCAUAAUCGAUAUUUUCAGAGAAUUUCAUCCUUUGUGGGUCAUCAGUUGCCAGGUUUACAUUAACUGGCACUUGUGCUGGUGGAACAUUGGCAGUGAACUGUUGUUCAAAUGAAGAGGGAUUUGCCCCUAAAUUUUGAGGCGGGAUAACAAAGGGAGCUGAUGGCAUAGAUAUAGAUGGAGUUGCAACUGCCGGCUGAGUAGAGGUGCCUUCCCCAGACUUGGAUACUAGGGCCUGCUCGAGUAGACUUGUAAGUCGUGCUAUAUCAUUUUUCAUGUUCUCCAACUCUCUUUGAUAAUGAGCCUCCAGGUGUGCCCUUUCUUCGUUCUCCAUUAUCUUCCUUCGUUGUCGAGUGUAAUGAAUUUUACGGCCUUUUGGGGGAUCUAUAUUUUAACCUGAGUGAAUGCAAGUAAACUAAAUGAAAUGCACAAAUGGAUGCAAAAUGCAUAUGCUUUAUGCAUGUUGUUAUUGGUUUCAAUUUUUUUUUAACUUAUACGAGGAAUAGACCAGAUCAGAUUCUCUUAAGAAAGUUCUCACUGAGGACUCCAAACCUACAGGGACUUGAACCGAUUUAGGGGAGAAAUUUGAUGCAUGUUCUGAUGGCAAACAAUCCCUUCAUCAUGUUGGUUCAAUUCUGAUCUGGUCAAAAAUUCCUCAAUAGUAAUGUUUUUUUAAUCUCACACUUCCUAUGAGGAUCGGUGGAGAUUUAAUGAGAAUAUUAAAUGUAUAUGAACAUGUAUGUUAAUGCAUUGAUAUUUGUUUGUGUCCUAAAGGUAUAUCCUAAUUGAUAGGAUCUAGCUCAUAGGGUUUGGCUCAGUUGAUUCUAAUCUUAAAGAUCAUCUUUGGUUCUUAGAUUGCCCGAAUUACCCAUGGGGUAAUCGGCCUCUUAACCUUAUACAACAUGAGUAUGGGAAGAAAAUUCCACAAUACCGUUGCAUAGGGUGAGUUACAAUCCAAGCGAAAGUCCAAAUGAGCAUCAGUGGACAAAGUCACACUUGCCACCUGAAUCUUUCUUUUCUAAUCUUAAAAAGGACGAGCUCGGGUCCAGAGCUUUUAUGGGUUCACUGUGAAGUGUGUGAAUACACAAAUAAAUAACAUGCAUGCAUGUGUAAUUAAAAAAUGAAAUGAUUUACAAUUGAUAUUGCAUAAAAUAAAUAGUGCAAAUAAAAUAAAUACUCAAAAAAUAAAUAGCAAUAAAAAAAAUGAAAAGCACACACAAGCAGUUGGUUCAACCCUGUCCCCAGUGGAGUCGCCAUUCUGUCGAUACACGACGUCGGGCGACGGCUCCGCUCAUUUUUGUUUAUUUAACAAAAAAGAUUUGUUUAAUUGGGGAAAUGAAAAUUUAUUGGAGUCGCCAUCUAGUAAUUUGAGGGAACUAGAAAUCCCAAAUUAGACACUGGUCCCAGAGAUUCGGGUACUGGGUUAGUUAUGAUUAAGGGAAGGUAGACACCACCCUUAAAACAUCCUUUCAAAAGAAAGGUUACCCUUACUUGUGUGUUUUUUUUAUUUGUUUAAAUGAUAUUAUAUUUUGAGCUUAUUUGCAAUUUUUUUUUUAUUAACGUCGGUCCCUAAAAAUAGGAGACACGUUAAAAAUGACAUCAGUCCCUAAAAAUAGGAGACUUGUCUAAAAUAUUGACGUUUAACCCUAAAAAGGAGAAGUACGUCUGAGUUACCAAAAAACAAAUAUGGACAUAAUCCAUAUUUGGUAUUUAAACUUUUGACAUCGGUCCUUUUAUAAAAAGAGACGUGUCGACAAACAUAUUUGUUUAUAAAAAAAAUAUUUUAUAUCGUUGAGAUAUGGGUAUAACUAUAUUUGAAAAUUGGGCUUUGGACCCACGAAUGAUGACAUAAUAGGAUGGGUGUUGGACCCGCGUUGUUAUUUUUUUUUAUUUUUUUGUUUUACAACAUGCAAGAAAAUUUAUAUACAAAAUAAAAAAAAUAUUAGCAAUCUAAAUAAAAUUACAUGAGUGACACAGUAUAGGUAAAGACUGAAAUACCCUCGGAUUUAUCAGAAAUUUACGAAAAUGCCACUGGCGGCGCGUGUGGCUCACGCGCGGCUACUGUUGGUGGCGACGAGAUUUUCAGGCGAGAUUUCUGGCCAACCGAUGGUCGGUUCUGGUAGAUCUGAGGUCGAGGAUUCUGUUGGUGGUGGUCUCGACGGCCGUUGAUGGCUGACGAGGGAGAAUCGACGACUUGAAGCUUCGGUGGCCGGCGAGAAUCGCGGCCUUUUUCCGGCCAGAUGAGGCGGCGAAAACGGUUAAAACCACCGGGGUUUGCUUUAACAGUGGAACCUUUCUGUGGUGGUUGGAGGCUGUAUGGCCGGAAAGUGGAGAUCGAGGAGAGAGAGAGAGUCGCCGGCGAGAGGAGAGAGAUGCUCCGAGAUUUGCUACGGUGCGGACGCGUGUAUGGUGUACCGGUGCCGCUUAAGGAUGUUAACCGUUGGAUCUUGGAUGAAACGAUCGGAUGGCUGUGAUUGGCUAGAUCAGCAGGUUGAUCGGACGGCCCAGAUUGUCUGGUUGUUGAUUCUGUGUGGCGCGGUGCACCGAAAGCUCGGUGCACCGGAUGACGUGGCGCAACGGGAUUAAAUCCUGGAAUAUGUUAACGGCUGAGAUGUGUUGGGAUAUGUUUGGUAUUUUUUAAAUUGUUUUUUUUAAAAGACAAUAUCCUACUCUCCUGAAGAAAAACUAAAAAAUUUAGGAAUUAUCAAUCGAUUCUUUCUUUUUUUUUCUUUUCUCUUCCUCCUUUUUUUUUUUUUUUCUGCCCCCCUCCCGUGGCUAUUUAUAGCCACGGGACAACAACCAUAAAAUUCUGUUUUAUUAUAUAUAAUAAUAAAUAAUGCACACAACUACCAUAAUUUUGUUUUAUUAUAUAUAAUAAUAAAUAUUGCACACAACUACCAUAAUUUUGUUUUAUUAUAUAUAAUAAUAAAUAUUUACAUGGGUAAAACUAAAAAUUCAAAUCAGUAUUAGAAAAAUCCCGUUUCAACCGCCAAAAAAUGGAAUACCAAAAAAAACAUUUAAUGGGUAUCGACCCGAUGAACCGGGUUUUGGUCGAAAAUAACGGUUUUGACCCGAGACAGCCCGAAACUCAUUUUUUACCCUGGUCGACAUGGUAUGACCCGUAUUGACCCGGUGAACUCGGUUUUGGUCGAAAAUGAGUUUUGACCCGAAACAGCCCGAAACUCAUUUUUUACCCUGGUCACAUGGUAUGACCCGUAUUGACCCGGUGAACCCGAUUUUGGUCAAAAUGAUGUUUUUGACCCGAAACAGCCCGAAACUCAUUUUUUACCCUGGUCGACAUGGUUUGAAUGAAGAGAUGCGGUUGACUCGAGAGAGAGAAAAAAAAAUAUUUUUGAAUUUUCAAAUUUUUUCUUAAUGUUUUUUUUUUUUGAUUUUUUAAAAAUAUAUAAAAAAAACAUGGGUCAAAAAUUGGGUAGCAACAACUGCUCUAUGUCAAUGAUCUACGGUUUGGUGAUCAAUUGGGUUUCUGUUUUUGGAGAUUGAAGAAGAUUGCAACGCUGGUCUGGCUGCUUUGAGUUGACUGCUUUCUGUUUCUGACGAUGCUGAGGCAGGCUGAGGCGACGGUGUGGCUCGACUGCUCUAUGUCUACGGUUUGGUGAUCAAUUGGGUUUCUGUAGGGGUGAAAACAAUUCGGAUGAAAAUUGAUUUCUAGAAGGGAUGAAAUCUGGUUGGUGAUACUGUUCUUCUCUGACUUUUUUUUUUUGUGUUUUGUUUGCUCUGUUUUUUUUUGUGGGUGCUGCCUUUUGGGUUGUUUUUUUUUUGUUCUUGACUCUGUUUUCUGGGUUUAAUUCUCUGCUUGCGACUAGGUUUUCUGCUCCCUUUUAUAGACUACCCAGCUCCUCUCCUUUAACCAGUCCUGUCUUCGCAGGACUCUUAUCUUCCCCGACGAGAUCGUGUGCGAUAGACGUGGUCCACGAUGGGAUCAACUUCGUUGCAGAUCUUCAGCCUGUUGAAUCGGGAUGCAGAAGACGAACACGACUGUUCCACCAUCAACGACGACGUUUCGGUAGCAAUGGAUUUCACCAGUAACGGCGACGUUUCAAGCAGCCAUGGACAUUUUCAAUUUGACCCCUGGACUUUGGAAAUUCGGCAAUUAGACCCCUAAGCAAUUAAAAGUUUCUUUUAAUUUUUCCCUUUUUUGAUUAAUUUCAAUUAAAUCCCUAAAUUAUAACACUAUUUACAAAAUAGUCUUUAAUUUGUGGAUUGUCCCAUUUGGCCCCUUAAUUAAUUAAAUUUUUUACUUUUAAUUCUUUCAAAAUUGAUCAAUUAACUCUCAAGUUACAUUCCCCAAACUUCAAAAUUUAUUGUCUUAACCCCAUUGUCAACUAUAUUUAAUUUUUAUUAUUUGUUCAAAAUUUGGGUUAUGACAGUUGCCCCCUCUUUAUGAUAUUUACGAUGCAAAGAUAUUGAAAAUUUUCAUUUUCUUUAACUUUGUGUAGUAAAUUUAUAAAGAAAAUUAGAUACAGAAAGAACCCUUUUUUUUUUUUUUUUUGUGAUGGUAUAUUGUAAUGGGUUACCAGCCCAAAUGGUCACAUUGUAAUGGUUACCUGCCCAGUAUAUGAUGGUAUGUUUAAUGGGUUACCGGCCCAAAUGGUCACAUUGUAAUGGGUUACCUGCCCAGUAUAUGAUGGUAUGUGUAAUGGGUUACCGGCCCAAAGGGUCACAUUGUAAUGGGUUACCUGCCAGUAUAGGAUGGUAUAUUGUAAUGGGUUACCUGCCCAGAUGGUCACAUUGUAAUGGGUUACCUGCCCAGUUGGUCACAUUGUAAUGGGUUACCAGCCCAGUUGGUCACAUUGUAAUGGGUUACCAGCCUAGAUGGUCACAUUGUAAUGGGUUACCUGCCCAGUUGGUCACAUUGUAAUGGGUUACCUGCCCAAUAUAGGAUGGUAUAUUGUGAUGGGUUACCGGCCCAGUUGGUCACAUUGUAAUGGGUUACCUGCCCAUUGGAAAAAUACAAGGAUUUUUUUUUUUUUUUUAGUAAGACGAGGGCUCGAAGGCGCGCUCGAAUGGAGGUAGGAUAGAAAAUGCACUACCUUUGGUGGUCGAGGGCUCGAAGGCGCGCUCGAAAAGAACUCAGACGAGGGCUCGAAGGCGCGCUCGAAUGGAGAUAAGACGAGGGCUCGAAGGCGCGCUCGAAUGGAGGUAGGAUAGGAAAUGCACUACCUAUGAUGGAAACUGAAAGGUGGUGAAAAAAUACAGAGAUUUUUCUAGUGGCCAAAUUCUCAUGGGCGGCCUGCCCAGGUUGAAAAAUUCUCAAAAAUAAAAAAUUUUCAAUAGCAAUUUUGAGCUUUGGCCAUUUCAAGUUGGCCUUCCACUUGAUGGAUUUCGUUGGAAUUUUCUCAUAUGAAAUUUGCAAAACUCAUUGUUCAAUGUCUCAAAGUUAAAUGAUAUGCAUGCAUCUUUACCUGAUUUGAAAUAUAGGCCCCCAUUUCUUCACAAUCUUCUUGUUGAUUAGUUGGUGAGAUCUUGCUAUCUGAUUUGAGUCAUCUUUGUCGCUUGACUUCCAGCCCACUCGAGUUGGCCCAUGUAAGUCUACUUCCAAAUUUGUUUGCAUAACUCAGCAUUUGUGGUGCCCAUCGUGACCCACUUGCUUGCUAAAGAUUUUUAUUCGUCAAAUAAUUUGAGAGGAUUAUUCAUUACCCCUCGUCUCACUGCUAAAAACAUUCGGUAUCACUUACUGAAAGGAUCGAGCUAUCUUGUAAACCAAAAUGCCCCCUUGUCUGGUUGAAGGAAAUUACCAUCUCCUUUUCUAGAAUCUUUCCUUCUAAACACAAUGUUGCCCCCUUGUAUUGGUUAUUGCCCCUAAGUGUGCUUCUGUCAGCGACUUAGAUAAAUAAAGGUUUUAAGAGGCCAUUCUCUCAUUUCUCUCCUUUUCAGUUUGGUAGAGGAAUAUGGGUCUAGAAUGAAUCUUGAAAUCUUGAUCUUGCAUUUUGAAAACAAAAAUUAUUUCGAUUUGAGUCAAAUAACAAUUUGCUUUUGAAAUCUUGCAACUCCUUGGUUAUUUUCUUUCUGGGAAAAGAGAUUAUUUGCUCUUGUGUUUGGUAACGAGGUCUUCGGUGAAAGUAUAUCAUGAGAUGACCUUUUGUUUUGAAGUGAAGGGCUCGAGAAAAAGCUCAAGGUUUUGUAUGAGAAAAACUUGUCUCUUUUUGAACAUUUAUUUUUAUCAGCAUGAAUAAUAAUGAGUAGUUUAUUCUUGAUGUCAUGAAUCUUAUGAAAAAGUAUUCUUUGCAUUUUAAGAGCAUUGUUUAUUGUUCUAGAUUGCUUGCUUGCUUGAUUAGAAAGGACUUAUACAGGCACGUAACAUAGGCUGUGGUUUUUGGCUAUGAAAGAAAAUGAUUCAUAAGGCUCAAAGAGUGUUUGAGGGUUUCAAAGACUGAAGAUCACAAUCAAUAGUUUGACUUUUGACGUCAUGCAUAUUUUCCUUCGCCGCUCUUCUUUGAUUUGCCCCUUCUUUUUCUUCUUUUUCAUUGCUUCGCUAGAGCAUACUCAUUUUCUCUUGGUUAUCACUUUUUCUUGUGAUUUGGGCAUGCCCCUAGUAUUGGGGUUUCUUGGGCUCUUUUGCCUUUUGGCUUUCUCACGGCUUUAUCCUCCUUCUUGAUCGUCGAAAUUUCACUUGCCCCUUGCUUCGCUAGAGCAUACUCAUUUUAUCUUGGUUAUCACUUUUUCUUGUGAUUUGGGCAUGCCCCCUAGUAUUGGAGUUUCUUGGGCUCUUUUGCCUUUUGGCUUUCUCACGGCUUUAUCCUCUUUCUUGAUCAUUGAAAUUUCACUUACCCCCAGUGUAGGGUGUGAUCUUAGUCGGGAUUUUUAUGAAAUUAUUCAGGCUCAAAAAGGGUUUGCAAGGGAUGUACUUAUUUUAGAAUGUGAAAGGAAUAACAAAGAUGGCCUUUCCUCAUUUCAAGCGCAAGCGGCUAUGAUCAAUAAACUUUGACCUCGUAUAAUGUGAUGGUUUAUUCUUUUCAAAGAUGCCUUUCAUGAGUUAUGAGCAACCAGAUCACUACAUACCAUUAUUCAUACAUUUAAAAACACAUUAUUCAAGAGUCAUGGGGUAAGGGUAUUUUUUUCUUUUCCCUUUUUUUUAGUUUGGUCACCUCUAUGAAGGAGUUGCUUGAUUCACUUGUCAUUCUACAAGUAGAAUGUCAAAAAUAUCGGUUUUUGAAUAAACAUCAAACCAUUUUCGAAAUCAAAAUGCCAGAUCAAUUUUUUCAAAAUUCCAAUAGUGAAACUGACUUUGGUAAAAGUAAUGAAUUGAAUCUAUGAGAUCAUGCAAGGCUUCAAGGGUGUAUUUAUUGAUUCUUUGAAAUCAAUAACAUUUAUGAGAGAGAGAAAAGAUAUACAAAGUGAAUUUCUUGGCCAAACUUUAUUGAUUUGAUGAGAACUUAUACAAUCAUCAAUGACUCAACAAUCAUGGAUAAUAUUUCUUUACAGAAUCAGAAUUCACUGGCCUACUCAAAUCUUCUCCAUCCAUUCCUGUUAGUAUCAAUGCUCCUCUAGAAAAUGCCUUCUUUACUACAUAAGGACCUUCAUAAUUGGGUGCCCAUUUGCUGUGGUUCUCACUAGGUAGUAAUAAGAUUUUUCUCAAUACCAGAUCUCCUUCUUUAAACUCUCUUGAUCGAACUUUUCUGUCAUAUGCUCUUGCUAUCCUGUUUUGAUACAGUUGGUGGUGACAAAUCGCUGCUAAUCUCUUCUCACUGAUCAUAUUUAACUGUUCAUAUCGUAUCUCAGCCCAUUUAGCCUCUUCUAGCUCAGACUCCAUUAGGACCCUUAGAGAAGGAAUCUCUACUUCCAAGGGCAUCACUGCCUCCAUUCUGUAAACUAGUGAAUAAGGUGUAGCCCUAGUUGACGUCCUUACUGCUGUCCGAUAUGCAUGUAGAGCAUAAGGAAGCCAUUCCUGCCAAUCUUUGUAAGUAACCACCAUUUUCUGGACAAUCUUCUUUAUGUUCUUGUUAGCAGCUUCAACAGCACCAUUCAUCUAUGGUCUGUAAGGUGAUGAAUUGGAAUGCUUGAUUUUCCAUUUAGUGCAUAAUUCCGCAAUCAUCUUCCCAUUGAAGUUCUUGGCGUUAUCGGUUACUAUCCUUUCUGGCAGACCAUACCUACAAAUUAAGUCUCUCUCAAUGAAUCGCUUGACCACCUUCUGAGUCACAUUAGCAUAUGAGCAGGCCUCUACCCACUUUGUAAAGUAAUCAAUUGCGACCAAGAUAAACCGAUGCCCAUUGCUGGCUUUUGGAUUAAUAGGCCCAAUCACAUCUAUUCCCCACAUCGCGAAUGGCCAAGGUGACACCAUAUUGAAUAAGGGCACUGGUGGUGCAUUGAUUUUGUCGCUAUACACCUGACAUUUAUGACAUUUGAUGUAACCAUAUUAUUCGAUAGUUUCACCCGCAUUUAACUAGUGUUUUGCAUAUGUUAUUUAUAUAAAAUGCCUUGAUAUUCUUUGUUUUAUGUUUUGAAGGCAUUUUUGGAUGAAAGAUGCAAAAAGGAGUAAAUUGGAGGUAAUUGGCAGAUUUGACGUUCAGUCGGUAUUUUGUGCAGAGCGUGAGUUCCAGAGAUCGAAAUGAAGUGAUUCCAGUGGCAUUAAAAAUUUAACAUCCAUACCUUUUUGGAAAUGUAAUGCAAGAAAAAUAAAAAGAGAAAGAUCAUGGAAAUCACAUCCUUCAAAGUCAAAUCUCGCAGUCUGCCAAUGUUGACCUUUGCCCAUUCAAAAUUCAAUAUCUGGAGCUUCAGAAGUCCAAUUGAUGCAAACUCAAUUGGGUUGGAUUCCUUACUCAAAGAUCUAUAAACGCUCCAAAUUUCAGCCAAAAACGAUGUCAUAUGAGGGAGAUAUGAUUUUUCAAAGAUGACAGCUGAAUUCUGCCAGCAAGCAGGUUGCGUGAAGAAACGAAUCAAAAUUUCAUCCAGAAGCAUCCAAACCGACCAGCAAUUUAGCUCCUCUAGUAAAUAUUCUAGAAGGUCAAGGAAGGCAGCCACCAACCUCAAGGCAGCCACCAACCUCAUGGCAGCCACCAACCUCAACCCAGCAGCCAGCAGCCAGCAGCCAGCAGCCUUCACACUACCACCAUCUAUUGAUGUUCACACUUGAGCUUUGAUAUUUUCUUACUUACAAUUUGUGUAUAAAUAGAGGGUGAGUAGAAGGAGGUAGAAAAAAGAGAAAGAAAAAGGAAGAAACACAAACUCUCCUCUCUACAAAUCAGAAAUUAUGUAUUCUUUCAUCUUUAGGAGUAGUUGUUCAAUAGAUAUGCAAGGCUAAGCUCGUUUUCUUGGUUGCAAGGACACAACAAACCUUCGGAUUUCAAGAACCGUGAGAUUUAUUCUUCCUUUUAUUUUCAGUUUAUGUUAUGAAUGAGUAUGUUUGUUUUCCUAUGCAUAUUUCCUAUGAUUGUUUAUCUUAAUUGCUAGAGCGGACUCUAAGUUAUUAUUGUGAACAAUCUAUUGCUAAGUUUGAUAUCAAAACCGGAGUUGUGGUAUAUAAACUUGUGAAGCAACUAAGCUUGAUAAUUGUAGCGGAACUACGUUAUUAAACUUAGGGAGAACAUUCGAUCAUAGCAACACAAAUUGACAACUUGGUUGUUAAGAUUAAUGAAUUUAUCUGGAUCUUAAGGCUGCCAUUGGAUUAAAUCAUUAGUGCGGACACUGUGAUUGUUUGUUGGUUAGGGAUAGUUAUACGGCGGAUCCGUUAAUUAACCAAUAUUAAGAAAAGAUAAAAUUCAUAAUAUAAACUGGAGUUUCGUUUCAAGGAUCGGUUCUAAUUUCCGUUGGUGGAUGUGUGCUUGCAACCAAGGUUUGUUUUCUUGAUAUAUUUCAGUUUCAAUUGAUUUUGUUUGCUAGUUUAAUUUCUGCCAUAGUUUAAAUCAUUUCAAAUCAAUCCCCCCCAAUUACAUAACGUACAACAUAAAAAUCUAACUUCAAACUUCCUCGUGGGAUCGACCCCUUGCUUGCUCUAUACUAUCUUGUGUGUUUUAAGCUAGGGUAAUUAAUUUGUGCGACCGCGACAUCGCAACAACAUUUUCGGAAAAAUUCUAUACAAUCCUUCUCCAUGGUCAACCAAAAAUACCUAGCUCUUUGCAUUUGUCUCGCCAUCAUGUGUCCAUUUGCAUGGGUGGUGCAAAUUCGUCCAUGCACUUCAUACAAGGCUUUAUUGGCUUCUGAUCUGUCUAAACAUCUUAGUAGAGCCCCAUCAAAUGACCUUUUGUAUAAGAUUUCUCCAUCUAUAAAAUAUUCCAUUGCCAUUCUUCUCAGAGUCUUCUUAUCUGUUUUUGAAGCUUCAAAAGGAUAUUCCCGAUAUUGGAUGAAUCUUUUUAUAUCUGCAUACCAAGGACUUCCAUCCCCUUCUUCUUCUACUAAACAACAAUGAGCAGGAGAACUUCUGAUAUCAAUGCCUAUAGGAUGUACUUUGAUACCGCAAUCAAUUGUGGCCAUGGAGGCUAAGGUUGCUAAAGCAUCUGCAAACUGAUUCUUAUCCCUUCCUAAAUGAUUGAACUCUAUCUCUUCAAAGUCUUCAGCCAAUUUGGAGAGAUAUUCUUGAUAUGGUUUCAAUUUCUCAUCUUUCGUCUGCCACUCCCCCUUUGUCUGGCAGAUUAUCAACAUAGAGUCUCCAUAUACCUCUAAUUUCCUUAUCUUCAACUCCAAUGCAGCUUCCAAUCCAUGAAUACAAGCCUCAUAUUCAGCUGUGUUGUUUGUGCAAUUGAACUGCAACUUAAUGGAUAUGGGAUAUUGUUUUCCUUCUGGAGAAAUUAUUACAGCACCAGCUCCAUUACCAGAUAUAUUCACCGCACCAUCAAAGUACAUGGUCCACCAAUCACCUUCUAUUACAAGCACAUCUUCAUCAGGGAAGUCAAAAUUUAAUGGCUCAUAGUCUUCAACAGCAUUAUCAGCUAAAUGAUCUGCGAUUGCACUUCCUUUCACGGAUUUUCUUGUUUUGUAAAUGAUAUCAUAUUCAGCCAACAACACUUGCCAUCUGGCGAGCCUAUUUGACAUGUAUGGUUUUUCAAAGAUAUAUUUGAUAGGAUCUACCUUUGAAAUUAACCAAGUGGUAUAGUAUAGCAUAUACUGUCGGAGCCUUUUCGCACUCCAAACCAAACCACAACACAACUUCUCAAUCAUGCUGUAACGAGAUUCACACUCAGUGAAUUUCUUACUCAGGUAGUAGAUGGCUUGCUCCUUUCUCCCAGACUCAUCAUGUUGGCCAAGCACACAGCCCAUUGCUGAUUCAGUCACUGUUAAAUACAAAAUGAGAGGCUUUCCCGGCACCGGUGGAACCAAUAGAGGUGGUUUCUGCAAAUAUUGUUUAAUCUUAUCAAAGGCUUCUUGACAGUCCUCAUCCCAUACUCCGGGGUUUCUCUUUCGAAGUAAUCGAAAGAUUGGUUCACAAGUGACUGUAAGUUGUGAAAUAAAUCGAGCAAUAUAAUUUAAACGUCCCAAAAAGCCUCGAACCUCUUUCUCAGUUUUAGGAGCUGACAUAGCUUGUAUGGCCUUCACUUUAUCAGGAUCUACUUCUAUGCCAUUAUUGCUCACCACAAAUCCCAAUAACUUCCCAGACUUCACCCCAAAUGUGCAUUUUGCAGGGUUCAGCUUUAAUUGAUAUUUUCUCAGCCUUUCAAUAAAUUCUUCAGAGCUGGGAUAUGGUUUUCCUCAUCCUUAGACUUAGCAAUCAUAUCAUCCACAUAGACCUCAAUUUCUUUAUGCAUCAUAUCAUGAAAUAGUGUCACCAUUGCUCUUUGAUAAGUUGCCCCAGCAUUUUUCAGUCCAAAUGGCAUAACUUUAUAGCAAUAUGUUCCCCACGGGGUAACAAAUGUUGUUUUUUUCUUGUCUUGCUCGGCCAUUUUAAUCUGAUUAUACCCAGAGAAACCAUCCAUAAAAGAGUAAGUAGAACUCUUAGCAGCAUUAUCUACUAAUACAUCUAUGUGGGGUAAAGGAAAAUUAUCCUUCGGGCUUGCCUUAUUCAAAUCUCGGAAAUCCACACAUACCCUGAUUUUGUUGUCUUUCUUGGGUACUACUACGAUAUUGGACACCCAUUGAGAAUAAUCAACUACUUCCAAGAAUCCAGCAUCCCACUGUUUUGUUAUCUCUUCUUUCACUUUGAUUAGUAUAUCCGGCCUUGUCCUCCUCAACUUUUGCUUAACCGGCUUACAACCUUCUAUCAAAGGUAGUUUAUGUACCACAAUAUCAGUAUCCAGACCAGGCAUAUCAGCGUAUGACCAGGCAAAAACAUCAAUGUAUUCUUGUAAAAGAGCAAUCAAUUCACUUCUAACGUCAGCAGAGAUUAGCUUCCCUAUUUUCAACUCUCUUUUAUCAUGUACUGUGCCCACAUUUAUCAGUUCUAGUUCUUCUUUUGCAGGCUUCCAUGUGCGAUCAGAUUGUUCCGCUAACUUUGCGAAUUCAUGAAUAUCCUCCUCACCAAAUUCUUCCUCAUCCAUGGCAAUUAUAGUUUCAUCAAAGUUAGGCCAAUUAUCCACAGUGCAAUGAGUUUGUGGGGUGUACGACGAUCCGCUUUCAGAUUUCUUUUUGAAAACAAUUGGGACUUCUUGAAUUUCCCAAUUUGCUAAAUCUUCUCCCUCGGCCAGUUUUCUCACGAAUUCUAAUGAGUCGUCUUCCAAAACACCAAUAGUCAGCUGGGGCAACUGUUCAUGAGCAUUAUCCUCUUCCUUUAAAUCUUGUUCACCGACGUAUUCAAGAUAAUUAAUAGUAGCACCAUUGAAUUCUUUUCUUAGUCCCUCCUCAUAAUCCUCUGUUUUUAUCACAUAUGCGGAUCUUGGAAAUGUUACAUGGAUUGGUGGGAUCUCUAUUCGAUCUUCAUCUGGUUCUCUUCUCUCAAUCCGGGCUAUUCUCUUUUCUCUUCUAAUUUCAGCUGCUCUUUUGAAAUCUGCUUUCCCAGGCUUAAACCCUAAGCCAAACUUUUGAUCUGCGCACUUCAUUUUUAUCACAUUAAUCCUCUCAGGCAUUCCGGUAGUAUGGUCAUAUUGAAAUGGCAGUCCAUGCUUUAAGAAGUAUUUAGCAGCCAUUUUUGCUGCUUCGGAAACUUCUGGCUUUCUUCGUACCGUAUUUUCUGGUACCCAUUCAGCAUUUACAACUUCAAAUGCAUGCAGAUUUUCAUCCUUACUUUCUUCAGUUUCUAUGUAAGGGAUCGAGACAUUUUUUAUCAUUGACAAAGUUUCCUCAGCUCUCACAGUCACCAAAUUCCCAUUGAUGAUAAACUUGACCCGUUGAUGUAAAGAAGAUGCGACAGCUCGGGCUGCAUGGAUCCAAGGUCUCCCUAGUAAAAUGCUAUAUGAUGGAUGAAUGUCCAUUACUUGUAAUGUGACUUGGAAUGGUUGUGGGCCAAUGAUUAGUUCAACAUCAAUGCUCCCAGUGAUUGGUCUAGAUGACCCAUCAUAUGCCCUAGCAGUCAUGGUACUUGGCUUCAUGUGAGAAGCAUCAACUGGCAUUUUAUCAAGUACAUGUCUUGGCAAUACAUUAAGAGAAGAACCAUUAUCUAUAAGCACCUUAGCAAUCACACAAUCCUUGCAUUUUACCGUGAUAUGCAAUGGUUUAUUAUGACCGGUUCCUUCAUGAUCAAGCUCAUCAUCGGUAAAAUAAAGGUAAUUGGUGGCUUGAAUCCGACCCACCAAAUGUCCUAUGGAAUCUUGUGUGAUAUCUUGAGGAACAUAUGCUUCAUUAAGAACCUUCUGAAGGGCGUUCCUAUGCAAUUCUGAACUCAAUAUUAAUGACAACAAAGAAAUCCUAGCGGGUGUUUUCUUUAGCUGAUCAACCACACUAUAUUCGCUGUGCUUCAUCAAUUUUAGAAAUUCAUUAGCCUCUUCAUCACUUACUGGUUUAUUAACCUCAUCUGUCUUUGUCAAUUCUAUCGUAUCCUUUCCUUUGGCUUUUCUAUGGUUUUCCAACUCUUCAGGAGUAAAACAUCUCCCACUCCGAGUGAGUCCUCCUACUUCCGUAUGGAAAACAGGGGCAGGCUUUGUGCUGUGAAAGGAAUAACCAUAAUUAUAGGGUUGGGCAUUAUAGCUUCCGCUAACAAUGUUCGUAGGCUUUGUUAGGAUCAUUUUUGGCGGACCCCUUUCAGUUGGUAUGUAUCUACAAACUUCCACUUUUCUGUUACAACCAGUCAUUGUUCCUACUAACUCAUCUUCUUUGGGUUUCAUCAAUCUUAACAUUCCCAACGCCAUCAUAUUUUCUACCUCCAAAUGAAACUCCUCGCACGAGUCAAUAUCAUGCCCAAACUGCUGAUGAUAUUUACAAUAUUCAUUCGCAUUCCCUACAGCUUGUAUUUUGACUGGUGUCUUUAGAUAAUCUGUUUGCCUUAACAUCCCAUACAAUCUAUCCAUAGUCACCCUUAAAGUUGUUGUACCUCCCUUUCCUAUCUCCAAGUUAUUAACUCCCCCACCUCCAGAAGCGUGAUUUGGUAGAGGGUUAAAAUUCACAUUUGGAGACUCAUCAAAAGAAAUCCACCCAGCUUUGAUGAGCUGAAGGAUUUUUCUUUUGAAUGCAACACAUCCAUCAAUAUGAUGACCAACAGCACCAGCAUGGUAUUCACAUUUUUGAUCGGGUUUAUACCAAAAGGGAAAUGGUGGUUGUAAAGGUUCUAAGGGAACAGGUGCUACCUGACCAAUACUAAGCAAUCUUUGGUGCAUUUCAGUAAGAGACAUGGGUAAUGGUGGAAGUUGCACUUGAUCUAUUGGAAAAUUUCUUCUCGGACGGUAGGCAUUAUCGGUUUGGUUUUUAUUGGGUUAUUUUGGGUGUUUGUAGGUGAAGAGAAUUUUAUAUUGGAUAUAGAGGGGGUAGGUGUAAUACUUUUGGAGCUGUAAUUAUCUUGGUAAGUGUUCUUCCCUCUACUUUCCCUUUCAACAUUGUGAACUUUCGCUUCUUUUCUUUUUCCAAUAAAACCUCUUUUUUCAGUAGGAUCCACGAUCCUGCCCGUCCGAACAGCUUGUUCGAUCCUUUCAGCUAUAACAACCAAAUCAGAGAAAUUUUGUGCAGCACUACCUACCAAGUAUUCAAAGUACGGGGCUUUGAAAGUGUUGGAAAAUAAACCAGUCAUCUCCCUUUCCGACAAUGGAGGAUUUACUUGCGCGGCUGAUUCCGCCACCUUUGGGCAUAUUCUCUUACAGACUCCUUAUUGCCUUUUUCCAUGGCUUGCAGACUUGAUCUAUCUGGGGCAAUGUCCAUGUUGAACUUAUACUGUCUAAUAAAAGCUUCAGCUAAAUCCUUCCAUCCUUUAAUCUUGGUAUUAUCCAAACGCAUAUACCAAGCAAGAGCAGCAUCACUUAAACUAUCCUGAAAGAAAUGGAUCAAUAACUUCUCAUCAUGGACUACUUCAGCCAUCUUAUUACAGUAUGCUUUAAGAUGGGUGAUUGGGCAUUGAGUUCCAGUAUAUUUAACAAAUUCUGGAACUCUGAAUUUUCUGGGAAUAACCACAUUAGGCACUAAACACAUUUCAGCAGCCUUUACCGGAUCAUACAAACUAUUCCCCUCUAUUGCCUUCAUUCUUUCUUCUAAAGCAGCUAGUUUUUCCUGACCAUUUUCCUCUACGAUCUUGUUCCUUUGAGGUUCUUCUUCUAUCAACACAGUGUGGGGGACCCUCAUUGGAUGUGCUGAUUGAGUAGGUGCGAAAUGAGCAGCAUGUUGAGGCUCAAAUAGCGGAACAACAGGAGGCGGAGGUUGAGGUGUAAAUGUUUGUUGAGAAGAUGUCCCUUCUCCAACUCUAGGCCUCAAAGCUUGUUCAAGCAAGCUGGUAAGCCUUGCUACAUCCUCUUUCAGGCUUUCCAUCUCUCUUUGGUGUUGAACCAGCUCUCUUUGGUGUUGAAUUUCUAGCUGAUUUCUCUCUUCAUUUUCCAUUUUCUUUCGUGAACGAGUAUUAUGAAUACGUUUAGGUUGGGGACCUAUAUUUCACCUGUUAUAUGCAGAAUAUGACAAUCUAUAAGCAAAUGUAUGUGAUGCAUGAAUGUGAAUGCCACAUAUUGGAUAUAGAUUCGCUUUUUGUUGGUGACAUAUGGCCAUCAUUCUUUGGAUAUAUGGGUUGAACUUGAACUUGAUAUCAUUGUUCGAUGCCGAGAAGAAAUCUGCUUAGCUUUUUGACAUUUGGGCUUUCAGCUAUAUACACAUAUCUUUGCAUUGAAAAAUGUGGGUCUCAGCCCUCUUAUUACUUAUUCAGAAACUUACAGUAAAAAUUAAUCUAAUCUAUUACAGGAGAAAAAACACUGCCUCUAGUAGCUAUUGCUUUCAAAAAAAGAUCGGUGUUAUCCAUGCUUCUUCGAUAUUUCAUUAUAUCUCCUCCCACCUGACGAGCUUCCACUCGUAAUAAAUGGGCUUCUGCAGCUGCUCGAUUAAUCUGAUCUUGUAGUUCCCUUAUCCUCUCAGUAUGAAUCAAGUUGUUUCUAGACAAAAAGUUAUUGGCAUCAUCCAAUGUUUGAUUAUGUUGCUUUAUCAUUUUUUGGUUUCCCAUAAGUUGUACGGUCUUUAAUUUUUCUUUGUCCAACUUAGAUCUCAACGCUUCUGCUUCAGCCUUAUGACUGUUCAACUCUGCUUUCUGCUCUUCGUGCAUUUUAGUUAAAGCCUCAGCUCUUCCUAAUUGGUCUUUAAACUUAACAAUGUCUGCCCGACGCAUUUUCAAUAUUGCUUGUGUCUUGAUGGCUGACUCUUCCCAAUGCUUAGCUUUUUCCAUGUAAUAUGUCAUGUCCUGAUUAAUUGUCUUUUGUGUUUCCAAGUCAGUCUUUGCCUUUAUCAAGUCUUGACCACCAGAGUCCCUUUCUUCUUCAGCUAUUUUCCUUAAACCCUUUUCUUUGGCUAGCUGCCGCUCUAAAGACACUCUAUGUUCCUCAUUUGCUUUAAGCUCAGCUUGUAACGCUUUUACUUGUUUUCUUAAUUCUUCUUCACAGUUUACUCUUUUUCUUCGAAUGCCCACAGACUCAGAAACUUCUGCCAUAUAAGAGACUCCUCCAUUACGCCAUUCAGAAUACUUUUCACUAACUGUAGGAUUCCUUAAUCCAGUCUCCUUUUUCACAAGUACCAAAGACUUCCAAUCCUGUUUAAUGCUCUCCAACAUCUCCAUGGUAGCUCCUUUGUACACUCCAGUAAAUUGAGAUAAACCAACCGUUCUUGGGAUGCUUUGUAUGCCCCCAAACUGUCUUGCAACUAAAGCAGGCGCAUAGCUAAUAUAUCCAGUCACUCCAAUCAAAGGUACCCAAGGCUUCUUUCCACAACUCAUUAAGUACGUUACAUUUCUCAUCCAAGGAGCUCUCCAAUUAAACUUGCUUCGUGGAAUUCCUUGUAAUUUUACCCCCCAGUCAUCUUCAGAAAAUAUUUUCCAUUCACUUGAUACCAAUAACUCUAGUGGCCUUUGAUCAAACCACCAAAAAUUCCGGAAUAUUGGUGUCUCGGAUUCUAUAUGACUUACCAUCCAAAUGAACAAUAAUGGCACACAACAUCUCAUAGAACCUUUUCAAGUCUUUUUGCAAUGAUUGAGGGACAAAAAAGUUUCAGCCAAAAUCGCAGCAGAAGGAUUAAUUUUAGUCUUCUCAUACUCAACAAACAAAUUGGCUGCCUCUAAACUAACAAUUCCAGCAGAUGAAGGGCACAAAAUCAACCCAAAUAUUCCCAAAGCCAAUAUUCUGUAUACUUCUACUUUAGCACAUGGAUUAGACUUUUUAGCAAUCAACAACUCUUCUAGCCGUUUCCAUCUCAAACCCCUAGAAUUAUUUUUUUCUCUAUACAAACUCAUUUGUUGGAUUCCCAAUAGCUUAGCAAGCUCCUCUAUAGUAUCCUCAGUCUUUUGAUGAAAGUAAACCUUAUGUAUAUCCUCAAGAAAUUCUGUCAAAACACCAUACUUGUCGAUACACGACGUCGGGCGACGGCUCCGCUCUUUUUGUUGUAUUUUAACAAAAAAAGAUUUUUUAUUAUUGGGGGAAAUAGAUUUUAUUGGAGUCGCCAUCUAGUAAUUUGAGGGAACUAGAAAUCCCAAAUUAGACACUGGUCCUAGAGAUUCAGGUACUGGGUUAGUUAUGAUUAAGGGAAGGUAGACACCACCCUUAAAACAUCCUUUCAAAAGAAAGGUUACCCUUACUUGUGUGUUUUUAUAUUUGAUUCAAAUGCUAUUAUAUUUUGAGCUUAUUUGUAAUUUUUGUUUUGUUUAUAAAAUAGUUAACGUCGGUCCCUAAAAUUAGGAGACACGUUAAAAAUGACAUCAGUCCCUAAAAAUAGGAGACUCGUCUAAGAUAUCGACGUUUAACCCUAAAAAGGAGAUUUUCAUCCGAGUUACCAAAAAAACAAAAUUAUGGACAUAAUCCAUAUUUGUUUGGUUUUUAAAGUUUUUAUUUGACAUCGGUCCUUUUCUAUAAAAAGAGACGUGUCCACAAACAAUAUUUGUUUAUAAAAACAAAUAUUUUGAUAUUGUUGAGAUAUGGGUAUAACUAUAUUUGAAAAUUGGGCUUUGGACCCACAAACAAUAACAUGAUGGGAUGGGCGUUGGACCCACGUCGUUAUUCUUUUUAUACUUGUUUUUUUGUUUUUUUAUUUUAUUUUACAACAUGCAAUAAAAAUUUACAAAUAUUUACAUAAAAUAAAAUGUUAGGAAUUCAACAAAAAUUACCUGAGUACCCCUGUAUAUGUAAAAGACUGAAAUACCCUCGGAUUUUUCAGGAAUUUAUGAAAAUGCCACUGGCGGCGCGUGUGGCUCACGCGCGGCUACUGUUGGCACUGGCGAAGUUUCCCGGCGAGCUUUCUGGGAAACGAACCGUCGAUCCUGGUAGAUCUGAAGGAGAGGAUUCUGAUGGUGGUGGUCUCGACGUCCGUUGAUGGCUGACGAGGGAGAAUCAGCGACUUGAAGCUUCGGUGGCCGGCGAGGAUCGCGACCUUUUUCCGGCCAGAUGAGGCGGCGAAAACGGUUAAAAACGCCGGGGUUUUGCUUUAAACCAGUGGAUCAACCUUUCUGCGGUGGUGCGGAGGCUGGAGGCGGCCGGAAAGGGGAGAUCGGAUGAGAGAGAGAGCGUCGCCGGCGAGAGGAGAGAGAGAGUCCGAGAUUAGGCUACGGUGUGAACGCGUGCAUGGUAUACCGGUACCACUGAACACUUUGCGCCGUUGGAUCUCUGAUGGAAUGAUCGGAUGGCUGUGAUUGGCUAGAUCUGAGGUCGAUCGCACGGUAUGGAUGAGUCUGGGUUUAGAUCCGGUGUGACGCGGUGUACCGAAAUCUCGGUACACCGGAUGACGUGGCUUAACGGGAUUAAGUCUUGAAUUAUUUCAAUGGCUGAGAUGAGUUGGGAUAUAUUUGGUAUUUUUUAAAUUGUUUUUUUAAGAAAACAAUAUCCUACUCCUGUGAAGAAAAACUCAAAAAAUAUGCACAGUAACCAUUCUUUCUCUUCUUCUCUGGCUUUGUUUUCCCGUUCCCCUCCUUUUUUUCUUUUCUUUUUUUUUUCUUCCCCCCAUUUUCUGGCGAUGCUCACUGCCUAUUUAUAGGCAGUGAACAAUAAUAUAAGAAUUGAUUUCUGCCUAAAUUUGCCUAAUUGUAAGAAGAAAAAAAAAGUACUUGCCUAACAUUACCUAAUAUGACAAAAAAAGUUUUUGUUUUAUUAUAUAUAAUAAUAAAUAUUUACAUAGAUAAAAUUAAAAACUCAAAUCAGUAUUAGAAAAAGCUCGAUUCAACCGCUAAAAAUCAAUUUUAAUUACCGAAAAUUAUGUCGAAACAUUAAAAAAAAAAAAAAAAAAAAAACAAGUAUAAAAAGAAUAACGACGUGGGUCCAACGCCCAUCCCAUCAUGUUAUUGUUUGUGGGUCCAAAGCCCAAUUUUCAAAUAUAGUUAUACCCAUAUCUCAACAAUAUCAAAAUAUUUGUUUUUAUAAACAAAUAUUGUUUGUGGACACGUCUCUUUUUAUAGAAAAGGACCGAUGUCAAAUAAAAACUUUAAAAACCAAACAAAUAUGGAUUAUGUCCAUAAUUUUGUUUUUUUGGUAACUCGGACGUAAAUCUCCUUUUUAGGGUUAAACGUCGAUAUCUUAGACGAGUCUCCUAUUUUUAGGGACUGAUGUCAUUUUUAACGUGUCUCCUAAUUUUAGGGACCGACGUUAACUAUUUUAUAAACAAAAAUUACAAAUAAGCUCAAAAUAUAAUAGCAUUUGAAUCAAAUAUAAAAACACACAAGUAAGGGUAACCUUUCUUUUGAAAGGAUGUUUUAAGGGUGGUGUCUACCUUCCCUUAAUCAUAACUAACCCAGUACCUGAAUCUCUGGGACCAGUGUCUAAUUUGGGAUUUCUAGUUCCCUCAAAUUACUAGAUGGCGACUCCAAUAAAAUCUAUUUCCCCCAAUAAUAAAAAAUCUUUUUUUGUUAAAAUAAACAAAAAGAGCGGAGCCGUCGCCCGACGUCGUGUAUCGACAGAAUGGCGACUCCACUGGGGAUAGGGUUGAACCAACUGCUUGUGUGUGCUUUUCAUUUUUUUUUAUUGCUAUUUAUUUUUUUGAGUAUUUAUUUUAUUUGCACUAUUUAUUUUAUGCAAUAUCAAUUGUAAAUCAUUUCAUUUUUUAAUUACACAUGCAUGCAUGUUAUUUAUUUGUGUAUUCACACACUUAACAGUGAACCCAUAAAAGCUCUGGACCCGAGCUCGUCCUUUUUAAGAUUAGAAAAGAAAGAUUCAGGUGGCAAGUGUGACUUAUGUCCACUGAUGCUCAUAUGGACUUUCGCUUGGAUUGUAACUCACCCUAUAUAACGGGUAUUGUGGAAUUUUCUUCCCAUACUCAUGUUGUAUAAGGUUAAGAGGCCGACUACCCCAUGGGUAAUUCGGGCAAUCUAAGAACCAAAAAAAUAUCUUCAGGGAUAGACUAAACUGAGCCAAAUCUUAUGAGCUAGAUCCUAUCAAUUAAGAUAACCUUUUAGGACACAAACAAAUGUCAAUGCAUUAACAUGCAUGUUUAUAUACAUUUCAUAUUCUCAUUAAAUCUCCACCGAUCCUUAUAGGAAGUGUGAAAAAAAAAAAAAAAAAAAAACAUUACUAUUGAGGAAUUUUUGACCAGAUCAAAAUUGAACCAACAUGAUAAAGGGGAUUGUUUGCCAUCAGAACAUGGCAUCAAAUUUCUCCCCUAAAUCGGUUCAAGUCCCUGUAGGUUUGGAGUCCUCAGUGAGAACUUUUUUAAGAGAAUUUGAUCUGGUCUGUUCCUCGUCAUAAGUUAAAGUAAAAUUUGAAACCAAUAACAAUCAUGCAUACACCAUAUGACAAUUUGCAUCCAUUUGUGCAUUUCAUUUAGUUUACUUGCAUUCACUCAGGUUGAAAUAUAGGUCCCCCAAAAGGCCACAAAAUUCAUUACACUCGAUUACAAAGGAAGAUAAUGGAGAACGAAGAAAGGGCACACCUGGAGGCUCAUUAUCAAAGAGAGUUGGAGAACAUGAAAAAUGAUAUAGCACGACUUACGAGUCUACUCGAGCAGGCCCUAGUAGCCAAGUCUGGGGAAGGUACCUCUACUCAGCCAGCAGUUGCAACUCCAUCUAUAUCUAUGCCAGCAGCUCCCUUUGUAUUCCCGCCUCAAAAUUUAGGGGCAAAUCCCUCUGCAUUUGAACAGCAGUUCACUGCCAAUGUUCCACCAGCACAAGUGCCAGUUACUGUAAAUCUGGCAACUGAUGACCCACAAAGGAUGAAAUUCUCUGAAAAUGUCGAUUAUGAUAAAUUGACCGCUCUAGAAGAGAGAUUGAAGGCAGUAGAAGGGGCAGACUUAUAUGAUCCUGUUUAUGCUGCAGAAAUGUGUUUAGUUCCAAAUGUAGUUGUACCUAGAAAAUUUAGGGUACCAGAAUUCAUCAAGUAUACUGGAACUGAAUGCCCAGUCACUCAUCUUAAAUCUUAUUGCAAUAAGAUGGCAGAAGUAGUGAAUGAUGAGAAACUUCUCAUCCAUUUCUUUCAAGACAGUCUUUCUGGAUCGGCAUUAAGCUGGUAUACAAGGCUGGAUAACACCAAGAUCAGAAAGUGGAAAGAUUUGGUAAAAGCCUUUGUGGAGCAGUAUAAAUUCAACAUGGAGGUAGCCCCAGACAGGUCAAGCUUGUUAAUCAUGGAGAAGGGCAACAAAGAGACUGUCAGAGAAUACUUUGAGAUGGCGUGAAAAAGCAUCUCAUGUGCAACCCUCUUUGUUAGAAAAAGAAAUGGUCACUCUGUUUUCUAACACUUUUAAAUCUCCAUACUUUGAACACCUGGUGGGUAGUUCAGCUCAGCAUUUCUAUGAUGCUGUAACUAUCGCUGAGAGAAUAGAACAAGCGAUAAGAGCGGGGAGAAUGUCAGAGCCUACUGAGAAGAAAGGCUUUACUGGGAAAAAGGAUGCCGAUGUGAACAAUGUGGAAGGAGUGUAUAGGGGUAUGAAAAAGAAUUACCAUCAUUAUAACUUCCAAAUACCCACCCAACAAGUUGCAAGUGUAAACUUCACUAAACAUUUCCCUACCAACCAACAAAAUCAACCAAAUAACCAAGAAAGUAACCAGAUUGUUAAUCCUCCAAGAAGGAAUUUUCAAAGAACCCAAGAACGACUGCCACCAUUACCACUUCCCUUAGGAGAAAUGUACUCAAAGUUGUUGAGUAUUGGGCAAGUAGCCCCUAUUCCCUUAACCCCACUGCAACCUCCAUACCCAAAUUGGUAUAAGCCAGAUCUGAAAUGUGAGUAUCAUGCUGGCGCUGCUGGGCAUAACAUUGAAAGCUGUAAUGCAUUUAAGAACAAGCUUUUGCAAUUGAUAAAAGCUGGAUGGAUAUCUUUUGAUGAUGCACCAAAUGUGAAGUCCAACUCUUUGCCCAAUCAUGCAAGAGAAUUCAAAGAAGGGGAUCUUGUACUAUGAAAAUCUUGCCAUUACCAAGUGAAGACCGAAGCAAGUGGGCACCAAACUAUGAAGGCCCAUAUGUAGUGAAGAAAGCAUUCUGGAGAGCUCUGUUGUUAACUAGGAUGGAUGGAGAUGAUUUACCUAGGCCUGUGAACUCUGACUCUGUGAAGAAGUAUUAUGUAUGAUGUGUUUCAUCCAAUCAAAUCAAUAAAGUUUUGGCCAGGAAAUUCUCUUUGCAUUAUACCUCACCAAAAAGCCCAUGUAUGAUCUCAAUGGCUCAACAAUUUGAUAAUUCAAACUUUUUUUUACUAGGAGAAUCCAUUCUUCUUAAAUGGGGUUUUAAAAGAACUGAUUUUGUUUGUGAUUUCAAUGAAAUAAAUCAAUGAUUUUGUUUGGAAUAAUGUUCAGAACAACUCCCUUGAAAGAGAUGACCAAACAAGUCAAAAACAUGCAAUCGGAACAACUAUCACCCAAAUCAUGUCUUAGAUCCACAUUUUAUCAGCAUGAAUAAUGGUUGGUAGUACAUUAGUUUGUCAUGGACUCCAAAACAUGGUCUCUUACAAAUCCAAAGCAUUACAUUGGAUGUGGACAAAGUUUAUUGGUUUUAACUGAUCUUACUUGAAAUGAGGAAAGGCCAUCUUUGAUAUUCCUUUCACUUUCUUUAAAAUUAUCCUUUGCAGUCCCAAUUUGAGCCGAGUCUAUUUAAAGCCUUUUCUUUCACAAGAACCUUAACUAAGAUCACACCCUACACUAGGGGGCAAAAAAGAGAAAUAUGAUUAAGAAAAUUGUCUUGAAGGUUGUGAGCUUAUGAAGAAAGUCUGACAAUAAAGAAUUCAAUAAAACUCCAAACAAUUGAAAGAAUUCCUAACAAAGAUGGGAAUAAAAAAAAAACAGAAGUUCUCAUUUGAAUAUUUAUCAUCAUUUUUGUUGUCAAGUAGCAAAAGAAAAUGCCAAGACAAGAUAAUAGUGAUCUAUAGUUUAUAAGCCCUUAAACACUUUUUUGAGCUUAUGGAAUACUCUUUCUUUUAUAGCCUUGAGCCAUGAAAUACAUUACGUGCCUUUGAAGUCCUUUCUAAUCAAGUAAGCAACCUGGAUCAAUAAACGGCGUUCUCAAAAUAUAAGAGACUUUUCCAUAAAGAGUCAUGGCAUAGCAAAUAAUUACUCGUUAUUAUUCAUGCUGUUAAAAAGAGUGUUUUCUAAAGAUACAAGGCAAAUUGUUUCUUUUCUCUAAAAUACCUCAAGAAAUCACUUGAACACUUUGAAAACCAAAGCAGAAGGUCAUCUCAUCACUUACCUUCAUCUUAGAUUACUUUUACUAAGAGAUUUGACAUAAAGCUCCAGAGUUGACUGAACAUUGUUAUAAACAGACAUUGAGAGUUUCAGUUUUCGAGAACAAAACAGAUCUUUUGAAAAAUCAUUUUUGAAAAAAGGGUUUUCUUUGUAAGAAAAAUGAAUAUACGGCACACUACGAGGCCCCAUUAGAAAAUCAGGGAUUCUAAUGACAACAAGAGCAAAGGAGGAAAUGAAUUGAGGCAGUUAAUUCUCCCAGGGGGCAGAGAAGCAGUUACUAGAUCCUUAAUGGCACUAAGAAAUUUGCUUCCCUAGUGGAAAAUACACAUGAUAAAACUGUGGACUUCUUCCAGCAUGAGGGCUGAAAUAGUAUGAUUUACAGUAUCCAUGAAAGGAGAUUGUUGACACUCACAAUAUGAUCAGUUAGACAACAAGAUAACUGGUACAUCUUCAGUAAGAGGAAUGCAGAUGAAAUCCUAGGUGAAGCGGGAUAAUCCUCUUACAUUGACCAUAUGAAUUGGUUAAAGAAUCUUCAAUAAUGGGAAUGUUGCCUAUAGAACAAUGUCGAGCCAGGGAGAAGUUAAUUUUCUCAGUGAAGUUACCAAUAGAGAAAAGUGCAGUGACUGUUGGGAAACUUAAACAAAGCGUAUCUUAGAAGAAUGAACAACAAGGGUCGGCUUGAGUAGACUUGAAGUACGUGUAAAUCAAAAGAGCUCACUCAAAGUCAAGACCCUCAAACACAAUGGAUGGGGAUCUAUAUUUCAAAAACAGGUAAGAUGCAUUGCAUAUCAUCUAACUUCACGAGCAUUGCAUAUUUGUUUUGCAGAUAUUUCACGAAACAAAACUCCUCACGGGAUCCAACGAGACUCGGAUGAAAUGACGUCCUUCUAAAUCAUAUCAAGUAUGGCAAUUCCACAAAGGCAAAAUUCAUGAAUGAAGACGAGAAGAUGGAUUUUUAUUCAUAGGCAUAAUGGUUUACAAGUACAAACGUUAAACACUGCGAGGACGAUUAGGGAUAUUUUCAUCUUGAUGGCCAAUCAUGCCUCGGAAUUCCUCAAAUUGCUUAUGCAUGCGCUCCAUCUCUUCCUCGAACUCGAGGUGUCGGGUGUUAACAUAGUCCCUCCAAAAGUCAACACGUGCAUUGAGCUCUUGGUUUCUCCUCUCCAAUUCGUUCCUGUGACGUCUCUCAUCACGGAGUCUUUUCCUUAAAUUCUCAAUUUGAUUAUGGAGCUCAGGAAUUUGAGUAUUCAACUCAAGUCUUCUGGUAUGAAGACGCUCCGCAACAUUCACCAAAGACGAAGUAGCUCUGAUACUGAGAGCAAGUGACUGAUUCACUGCUUCAAUAUCGGUCCUCGCUGCCAGCAUCAUUUCAUCACGAGGAAGGAUCAUGUCUCUAGCCACAGCUACAGCGGUAUCUUCAUCAUCCAUUACAGUAUCCUCUAUUGUAACUGGACGACCAUUCACUUCAAAGGUAGUACGCCAAACUACAGGCUCUGCCUCAGGAACAAGGUUUGGAUUAGCAUUGGAAGAAGAAGAAGACAUGGUUAAAACUUCAAAAGUUAAGAACUUUGAGAGUAUUGAAAAUGCGAGAAGUUGAUGAUGUCUUUUGCCCAAUACUGCGUGAUUUAUAGGGAAUCUGCUCCUACCAUCAUUUUGAACAGAAGAUGAGAUCUUAGUCGUAGAUACAAAACUUCCUUGGGAAGUUUUCCUCAUCUUUUGGGAUCCAUUUCCAAAUCAAAUCCCAACCGUACAUAUAAGACUUUCUUGAGAAGCUUUCCUGAUCCAUUUACAGAUCAAAUCUCAAUCGUACAUACAAGACUUUCUUGAGAAGCUUUCAUCAUCUCUGAGAUCGAUUUACAAAUCAGAUCUCAACCAUACAGGUAUGACUUCCUUUAAAAUUUUUCAUCAAUCUUAAAGCUCAUUGCUGAAAUCACUUUCAUGUAUUUCACAAAACCUAUAUUGAAAUCACUUUCAAGCAUUUCACCAUCGGGCAGGUCGCCUGGAACAAUUUGACCACUUGCGAGUUUCCUCGCAUUUUUUUCAUUUAUCGGGCAGGUCGCCUGGAACAAUUGACCACUUGCGAGUUUCCUCGCAUUUUAUCAUCGGGCAGGUCGCCUGGAACAAUUUGACCACUUGCGAGUUUCCUCGCAUUUUUUUUUCAUUUAUCGGGCAGGUCGCCUGGAACAAUUUGACCACUUGCGAGUUUCCUCGCAUUUUUUUUCAUUUAUCGGGCAGGUCGCCUGGAACAAUUGACCACUUGCGAGUUUCCUCGCAUUUAUCGGGCAGGUCGCCUGGAACAAUUUGACCACUUGCGAGUUCCUCGCAUUUUUUUCAUUUAUCGGGCAGGUCGCCUGGAACAAUUUGACCACUUGCGAGUUUCCUCGCAUUUUAGCAUCGGGCAGGUCGCCUGGAACAAUUUGACCACUUGCGAGUUCCUCGCAUUUUAGCAUCGGGCAGGUCGCCUGGAACAAUUUGACCACUUGCGAGUUUCCUCGCAUUUUAUCAUCGGGCAGGUCGCCUGGAACAAUUAGACCACUUGCGAGUUUCCUCGCAUUUUUUUUUAUCGGGCAGGUCGCCUGGAACAAUUAGACCACUUGCGAGUUUCCUCGCAUUUUCAUUUAUCGGGCAGGUCGCCUGGAACAAUUGACCACUUGCGAGUUUCCUCGCAUUUUUUUCAUUUAUCGGGCAGGUCGCCUGGAACAAUUUGACCACUUGCGAGUUUCCUCGCAUUUUAGCAUCGGGCAGGUCGCCUGGAACAAUUUGACCACUUGCGAGUUCCCUCGCAUUUUAGCAUCGGGCAGGUCGCCUGGAACAAUUUGACCACUUGCGAGUUCCUCGCAUUUUAUCAUCGGGCAGGUCGCCUGGAACAAUUUAGACCACUUGCGAGUUUCCUCGCAUUUUUAUCGGGCAGGUCGCCUGGAACAAUUAGACCACUUGCGAGUUUCCUCGCAUUUUUUUUAUCGGGCAGGUCGCCUGGAACAAUUAGACCACUUGCGAGUUUCCUCGCAUUUUUUUUUAUCGGGCAGGUCACCUGGAACAAUUAGACCACUUGCGAGUCUCCUCGCAUUUUUUUUCAUUUAUCGGGCAGGUCGCCUGGAACAAUUUGACCACUUGCGAGUCUCCUCGCAUUUUAUCAUCGGGCAGAUCGCCUGGAACAAUUAGACCACUUGCGAGUUUCCUCACAUUUUUUUCAUUUAUUGGGCAGGUCGCCUGGAACAAUUUGACCACUUGCGAGUUCCCUCGCAUUUUAUCAUCGGGCAGGUCGCCUGGAACAAUUUGACCACUUGCGAGUCUCCUCGCAUUUUAUCAUCGGGCAGGUCGCCUGGAACAAUUAGACCACUCACAAAAUUCUUUGCUUCCAUUUUCACCAGCGGGCAGGUCGCCUGGAACAAUUAGACCAACUGAAAAAUCUGGGUAUUUUUCAACACCGCCAUCGUUUUUCUUUACAAAACUUACUAUGCAAAGUCAAAAGAAAAUGAAUUUUCCAAUGUCUUUGCACCGUAAGCAUUGUAAAGAGGGGGCAACUGUUGUAACCCAAUUUUGGAUUCACCAAGUUUUUCUCGAAUGAUAUUUUAUUUCUAUUAUUAUUUAUAAAAAUCCAAAAAAAAAUAAAAAGGGUUUAAAAUUCAAAAAAAUAUUUGUUCUCGAGUCAACCGCAUCUUUCCAUCAAAACCGAGUUCACCAGGUCAAUACUGGUCAAAUCAUGUCGACCAGGGGGAAAAAUGAGUUUUCAGGUUGUUUCGGGUCAAAACCGUCAUUUUCAGCCAAGACCAAGUUCACCGGGUCAAUACGGGUCAAACCAUGUCGACCAGGGUAAAAAAUGAGUUUCAGGCUGUUUCGGGUCAAAACCGUCAUUUUCGGCCAAGACCGAGUUCACCGGGUCAAUACUGGUCAAAUCAUGUCAACCAGGGUAAAAAAUGAGUUUUCAGGCUGUUUCGGGUCAAAACCGUCAUUUUCGACCAAAACCGAGCUCACCGGGUCAAUACGGGUCAAACCAUGUCGACCGGGAUGAAAAAUGAGUUUCAGGUCAUUUUGGGUCAAAACUGUUAUUUUGUGGUCAAAACCCGGUUCACCGGGUUGAUACCUACUGACAGUUUUUUUUUUUUUUUUAUGUUUCGACAUAAUUUUCGGUAAUUAAAAUUAAUUUUUAGCGGUUGAGUCGGGCUUUUUCUAAUACUGAUUUGAGUUUUUAAUUUUAUCUAUAUAAAUAUUUAUUAUUAUAUAUAAUAAAACAAAAAAACUUUUUUGUCAUAUUAGGCAUAUUAGGUAAUGUUAGGUAGAGAUUUUUUUUCUUCCUUACAAUUAGGCAAUAAUUAGGCAGAAAUCAACUAUUCACUGGCUAUAAAUAGCCGUGACAAUCGUGAGUAAAAAAAAAGAAGAAAAAGAAAAAAGAGGGGAACGGGAAAACAAAGCCAGAGAAGAAGAGAAAGAAUGGUUACUGUGCAUAUUUUUUGAGUUUUUCUUCGCAGGAGUAGGAUAUUGUUUUCUUAAAAAAACAAUUUAAAAAAUACCAAAUAUAUCCCAACUCAUCUCAGCCAUUGAAAUAAUCCAAGACUUAAUCCCGUUAAGCCACGUCAUCCGGUGUACCGAGAUUUCGGUACACCGCGUCACACCGGAUCUAAACCCAGACUCAUCCAGACCGUGCGAUCGACCUCAGAUCUAGCCAAUCACAGCCAUCCGAUCAUUCCAUCAGAGAUCCAACGGCGCACAGUGUUCAGUGGUACCGGUAUACCAUGCACGCUUUCACACCGUAGCCUAAUCUCGGACACUCUCUCUCCUCUCGCCGGCGACGUCCUCUCUCUCAUCCGAUCUCCACUUUCCGGCCGCGUCCAGCCUCCGAACCACCGCAGAAAGGUUGAUCCACUGGUGUAAAGCAAAACCCCGGCGUUUGUAACCGUUUUCGCCGCCUCAUCUGGCCGGAAAAAGGCCGCGAUCCUCGCCGGCCACAGAAGCUUCAAGUCGUCGAUUCUCCCUCGUCAGCCAUCAACGGACGUCGAGACCACAACCAUCAGAAUCCUCUCCCUUAGAUCUACCAGGAUCGACGGUUCGUUUCCCAGAAAACUCGCCGGGAAACUUCGCCAGUGCCAACAGUAGCCGCGCGUGAGCCACACGCGCCGCCAGUGGCAUUUUCGUAAAUUCCUGAGAAAUUCGAGGGUAUUUCAGUCUUUUACAUAUACAGGGGUACUCAGGUAAUUUUUGUUGAAUUCCUAACAUUUUAUUUUAUGUAAAUAUUUGUAAAUUUUUAUUGCAUGUUGUAAAACAAAAAAAUAAAAAACAAAAAAACAAGUAUAAAAAGAAUAACGACGUGGGUCCAACGCCCAUCCCAUCAUGUUAUUGUUUGUGGGUCCAAAGCCCAAUUUUCAAAUAUAGUUAUACCCAUAUCUCAACAAUAUCAAAAUAUUUGUUUUUAUAAACAAAUAUUGUUUGUGGACACGUCUCUUUUUAUAGAAAAGGACCGAUGUCAAAUAAAAACUUUAAAAACCAAACAAAUAUGAAUUAUGUCCAUAAUUUUGUUUUUUUGGUAACUCGGACGUAAAUCUCCUUUUUAGGGUUAAACGUCGAUAUCUUAGACGAGUCUCCUAUUUUUAGGGACUGAUGUCAUUUUUAACGUGUCUCCUAAUUUUAGGGACCGACGUUAACUAUUUUAUAAACAAAACAAAAAUUACAAAUAAGCUCAAAAUAUAAUAGCAUUUGAAUCAAAUAUAAAAACACACAAGUAAGGGUAACCUUUCUUUUGAAAGGAUGUUUUAAGGGUGGUGUCUACCUUCCCUUAAUCAUAACUAACCCAGUACCUGAAUCUCUGGGACCAGUGUCUAAUUUGGGAUUUCUAGUUCCCUCAAAUUACUAGAUGGCGACUCCAAUAAAAUCUAUUUCCCCCAAUAAUAAAAAAUCUUUUUUUGUUAAAAUACAACAAAAAGAGCGGAGUCGUCGCCCGACGUCGUGUAUCGACAAUACUCUUCAAUGGUAGGAACCAUAUCGACAUCCCCAAAUGUAAAACAUCGAUAAUCAGGAUCCCAAAAAUGAAUCAGAGCUCUUAUGGCCAAUGGCAGUACCGGCACAUUUAAAAGAUGCAAAACUCUCCCAUAUAUCUUAGUAAAUUCUGUCUCAUCAUCCAAAUAUUUGGUGAGUGGAAUCAAACGAAUAGCAUCAUUUAUUACACAUCUCACCUCUUUUAGCAGCGGUAUCCCACUGUCAUCCAGUCUAGGGCAGUCUCCCUCGGUCAUAUGCAAUGAUUCAGAUUCAAGCCCAUACUCAAUAGUGUUGACUUCUCGAUUAACAGCCAUUAUGUCACCCGAAAUAAUAAUCCUGUUAUGAAAUGAUAUAUGUUAAGCUUUACUUUAGUGAAACUUACAUAGGGAACAACCUAAAGGGUAAGUUCUAGUCAUUACAUGCUUAGGGUAGGUUGCUAUCUAGUCUUUGAAAGGUCUUUCGCAUGCUCAGUGAUCUUCCUCGAAAGGUUGAUGUGAGGCUUACAAGUAGCGUGAAGAUAGAGGCCCUGAAUAAUAUCAGUUUAGGCAUACCAACCACUAUCGAGUAAACAAUCAAGCGAAAGUUGGAUGGUUUCACGAGUCUUACCCAGGCCAAAGCCAUUGGGGUACCGCUACUCUCCCACUUAACAUAAAGUUUGUAUAACAGAUAUUUAUUAUGAAAUGCGUGGUGUGUGAAGGCACAAAUCUAUAUUCAAUGUAUAUGAUGACGUGAAUAAAUAUGGAUGCUAAAGCAAUAAAAUAAAAUAAACUAAAUAAAAUAAAAAAUAAUAAAAAACAACACAACAAACAUUUAUAGCAAUUUUAACAAAUAAAGACAAAGCUUAGUCUUAAGUCCCCAGUGGAGUCGCCAUUCUGUCGCACCCGACAUCGCGGCGGCCUUAAAAAUUAAUUCUUGAAUUAUGGAAAAAGAACGAUUUCAUGCAUCGUGUUCUUUUAGGGGAAAAGGUCUUUGUUUAAGGAGUCGCCACCUAGUAUUAUGGUCACUAGGAACCCUAACUGGUCCACAGAGAUUCUAUGAUCCGAGACUGGUUACGUAGAAGGGAAGAUAUUAUCACCCCUUAAACGUCCUACCUAAGGUAGGCUGCAUUGCUGGUCUUUGUUAUUAAUUGCUAACAUCUUUAUUGGUUUAUACUAUGAUUUCUUGUGUACAAUAUUCCUGACUCUGGCGCCAGUGAAUAUUCAACUACGUAUAUUUCCAACUCUGGCGUUGGUAAAUAUUACGUAGGUAUCAAAAUAAAUUCAUAUCAUCAUUUUUAUUAUAUUCCUGACUCUGGCGUCAGUGAAUAAACAAGUAGAAAUCAAUUUUUUUUUUUUAUGCAUGCGAAACAAAAUAAAAUAAAUUUAUCCUAGUAUUUUUUUUUUAUUCCCGACUCUGGCGUCGGUGAAUAUACUAAAUAAAUUUAUCCUAUUUUAUCUUAUGUGAAUAAAAAAUCAAUUCAUUUCUUUAUCAAAUUAUUUUUUUAUGCAUGCGAAACAAAAUAAAAUAAAAUAAAUUUACCCUAGUAUUUUUUUAUUCCCGACUCUGGCGUCGGUGAAUAUACUAAAUAAAUUUAUCCUAUUUUAUUUUAUGUGUUUUUUUUUUCAAUGAAUAAAAAAAAUUAAUUUAUGUAUAUAUUUUUUACAUACACAAUUUUUAUUAUAUAUUUUUAAUAUUUUAUAUUUUUUACCUUUUUUUUUAUUUAUUUUUGGGCUGGGCUGGGCUAAAUCCAACCCAGCAAGUAUAUAUAUUAGUGGCUGGGCUCAGCUCAGCCCCACAAGGGCUGGGCUGAACCCAGCCAGCCCGGCCCGGGUCACUGGCCCAAGCCAGUGACCCGGCUACACAAGAUGCACGCGUGAAACAGAUCACGCGUGCAUCAACAGUGCGAAGGUAAUUAAAUUACCUUCGCACUGUUCAAACAAUUAUUUGAACACGAAGAGCAGAGAAAAAAUGGAAAAGGAAGCGAACCUGUUUUUGGAGAUUGAAGAAGAUUGCAACGCUGGUCUGGCCGCUUUGAGUUGACUGCUUUCUGUUUCUGGCGAUGCUGAGGCAGGCUGAGGCGACGGUGUGACUCGACUGCUCUAUGUCAAUGAUCUACGGUUUGGUGAUCAAUUGGGUUUCUGUUUUUGGAGAUUGAAGAAGAUUGCAACGCUGGUCUGGCUGCUUUGAGUUGACUGCUUUCUGUUUCUGGCGAUGCUGAGGCAGGCUGAGGCGACGGUGUGGCUCGACUGCUCUAUGUCUACGGUUUGGUGAUCAAUUGGGUUUCUGUAGGGGUGAAAACAAUUCGGAUGAAAAUUGAUUUCUAGAAGGGAUGAAAUCUGGCUGGUGAUACUGUUCUUCUCUGACUUUUUUUUUUGUGUUUUGUUUGCUCUGUUUUUUUUUGUUGGGUUGCUGCCUUUUGGGUUGUUUUUUUUUGUUCUUGACUCUGGUUUUCUGGGUUUAAUUCUCUGCCUUGCGACUAGGUUUUCUGCUCCCUUUUAUAGACUACCCAGCUCCUCUCCUUUAACCAGUCCUGUCUUCGCAGGACUCUUAUCUUCCCUGACGAGAUCGUGUGCGAUAGACGUGGUCCACGAUGGGAUCAACUUCGUUGCAGAUCUUCAGCCUGUUGAAUCGGGAUGCAGAAGACGAACACGACUGUUCCACCAUCAACGACGACGUUUCGGUAGCAAUGGAUUUCACCAGUAACGGCGACGUUUCAAGCAGCCAUGGACAUUUUCAAUUUGACCCCUGGACUUUGGAAAUUCGGCAAUUAGACCCCUAAGCAAUUAAAAGUUUCUUUUAAUUUUUCCCUUUUUUGAUUAAUUUCAAUUAAAUCCCUAAAUUAUAACACUAUUUACAAAAUAGUCUUUAAUUUGUGGAUUGUCCCAUUUGGCCCCUUAAUUAAUUAAAUUUUUUACUUUUAAUUCUUUCAAAAUUGAUCAAUUAACUCUCAAGUUACAUCCCCAAACUUCAAAAUUUAUUGUCUUAACCCCAUUGUCAACUAUAUUUAAUUUUUAUUAUUUGUUCAAAAUUUGGGUUAUGACAAUGCUAAUAAAAUAAAUACUGAGAAAAAAAAAAAACAACCUUUCUUUAUCAAGCCUGAGCAUCUAGUCAUUUGAAAUUUACAAAAAUAUCACCUCACCAUAAACCAUCAAAGAUAUACCCAAAAUCAGAGUUUAAAGUGGACACAAAGAACCAUGAAAAAGUCAUUUUACAUCUUACAACAGGGUCAUUUUUGUUUUCAAAAUACAAGACAAUCAAAGGACUGCAUUGAAUAGUGUGUUGGGUCUUUGACCAAAGGAGCUCGAAUUUCAAAAAUAACUUUUCAAAAACUGAUAUCUCUCUGAUUUCAUUUCAACAAUUAUACUUGAAUAGACAUGAUUGUUGAAAUGUGAGAUUUGAUCCCAGAACAAGAAAGAUUUUCAAACAAGAACAUCAAUUGAGUUUGCAAAAUUCGUGACAAAAAUGACAUCAACAUUUCUCAACACUCCUUGAAACGUUGACCACCUGGGGGCAAUACAGUGGACCCUUAGAAGAAAAACAAACAACAUUCUGAUCAGCUGGGGUCAAAGAAAGGAUCCGAUGAUGAGUCGUCAAAGUUCAUCAAAGUUAGGUUUAGCAUCUGACAAUGACAAAAAAAAACUUUCUUGAGUAUAAAUCGAUGAACAAACCUUCAGAUCAUACUGAGGUCAAUGUUGUUCAAAGACAAUCCAUGAUCUAGUGCACUUCAGUAGUAAUUGAUGAGCAACGCUGCACUAGAAAGAUAUUUUCAUAUCUUCAUCUUAGGUUACCUUGUAAAACAUGGCUAUGACUCCGGAACAGAUGUUAUCGGGUGAGUGCAUUUGGAUGAACAUCGAACAUAUGCACACCACUAAGAUUGACUAUGGGACCAUCUAUUCUGAAGCUCAAAUGCGCACUUCACCGCAGGAAUAUGGGUGAUAACAUGAACAUCAUUGAUGAUGCCAAAGCAGGUAUUUUCACGAUCUGAUUUGACAAGCUAAGAGGAAUCCAUAGAGAAAUACAUCGCGCUUACAAUGAUGAGCUGUUUACUGCAAAGCAUGAGAUACAUGUCUGGAUGACUUGGCAGCUCCAUGAAGGCUGGUGACCAUACAUACUUGAAUGUUGUUUCAACCGAAAGCAAGUUCAUGACUGAUUAACAAACGUGAUGGGUGUUGGCAUGAUGCACACAAUCAAUCAGAGGAUAAUUUCUUAGAAGAAGCCAGGAGAGAAAAUCUCUCAUGAUGAAUCAAGUAGUACUACACUUGGGGGCAGGGUCAAGCUUCAUGAAUGAUGCAAGCAGUAAUUGUCGAAGACAACCCGGGAUGGGCACUGCACUUACAGCUGAAUAAUGGCCAGUACAUGAAUGAGUCAAUGCAUCGGAAGAACAAAGAAAGCUUUGGGGAUGCAAACAAGGGCACCCUAUGACGAUGGAGCAUCAAAGAAGGGGGGGACCUAUAUUUCAAAUCAAGUAAGGAUGCAUGCAUAUGAUCUAACCUCAAAAAAAAAAAAAAAAAAAAAACCAUUUGCACAUAUUUUUGAAUUGUUACAGGAAAAUCCUUAAUGAGGUCCAGCAAGAUGGUGGAAAGAGAAAGAAGCAUUGUGGUGAUGAUAAUAAAGAAUCGGUUUUGAUCAUGGAAUAAAAGGACGAUGGGAUGAACCCUACCAUUAGGAAAAUCCCAAAGAAAUGAAUAGAUCAACCUUGCAACUGGGAAGCCUCGAGUUUUCAACCCUUGCAGUCAGGAAACACCGAGUUUUCAAACCCCAUGAUCGGGAAUUAUCAGGAAGCACCAAGUUUUCCAGCCCUUUCUUCUGUCAUCCCUUCAGAACUUCGCUAGGUAAGUCCUAUUUUUCACACUUGUCAUAUCACAUUUUUUCCAUCUGGGUAGGUCGCCCAUCAUAAUAAGACCGUUUUCACAUUUUUUCCAUCCGGGUAGGUCACCCAUGACAAUGAGACCGCACUUCAUCAUAUUUUUUCCAUCUGGGUAGGUCACCCAUUACAAUGAGACCACACUUCAUUUUUUUCACGUGGGUAGGUCACCCAUUACAAUGAGACUGCACUUCACAUUUUUUCCAUCUGGGUAGGUCACCCAUACAAUGAGACCAUCAUUUUUCUGGGGUUCGUCACCCAUACAAUGAGACCAUCAUAUUUCUGGGGUUUGUCACCCAUACAAUGAGACCAUCAUUUUUCUAGGGUUCGUCACCCAUACAAUGAGACCAUCAUAUUUCUAGGGUUUGUCACCCAUACAAUGAGACCAUCAUUUUUCUGGGGUUCGUCACCCAUACAAUGAGACCAUCAUAUUUCUGGGGUUCGUCACCCAUACAAUGAGACCAUCAUUUUUCUGGGUUCGUCACCCAUACAAUGAGACCAUCAUUUUUCUGGGGUUCGUCACCCAUACAAUGAGACCAUCAUUUUUUUCUUGGGUUUGUCACCCAUACAAUGAGACCAUUUUUCACACAUUCUUUUGUUUUGGUUAAAUGAGGUCGCCGGAUGGGAUCUCAGGUAGCUUUGGUUAAAGGGAAUCGCCAGAUGGGAUUUCAGGUUAACCGAGUUACGCAUAUUUCGUUCCAAUUGAAUGAGGUCGCUAGAUGGGAUCUCAUGUAGCUUUGGUUAAAGGGAAUCGCCAGAUGGGAUUUCAGGUUAACCGAGUUACACAAUAUUUUUGUUCCAGUUGAAUGAGGUCGCCAGAUGGGAUCUCAUGUAAACCCAAUGUGUGGGCAAGUCGCCCGUGAAAAUAGACCAUUGGGAGAGUGUGGGUCGGUCGCCCGUGAAAAUAGACCAGAGUGAGUAGGUGUGGGCAGGUCGCCCGUGAAAAUAGAUCAGUGUGAGUGUGUGGGCAGGUCGCCCAAGAUAAUACAAUCAUUUUCCUUUUGUUUUCUUUACAAAGCUUACUAUGCAAAAUUUUGAGGAGUUUUGCUUCGUAAGCAUUGUAAAGAGGGGGCAUCUGUUGCUACCCAAUUUUUGACCCAUGUUUUGAUAUAUUUUCAAAAAUCCAAAAAAUUGAGAAAAACAAAGAAAAUCCAAAAAUAUGUUUUUUAAUAUAUUUUCGUCAUUUUAGCAUUUUCAACGUCGUCUAAAAAAAAAUUUAAAUUGUUAAAAUAUUUUCAAACGCGUUCGACUUUUCACGCGUCAUUUUUAAAAUCAUUGAUUUUCCGCAUUUGAGUCGACAUUGAUAUUGCUCGUUUUCAAAAAAUACAAAAAAAUAAGAAAAAUCAAAAUUUACAAAAAGAAAGAAGUUGAGGGACCAAGUUGAAAAACUUGGCAACAUUUUUUCCUAUAAAUACUGGUCUUUAACUCAAACAAAAGGGGGGGGCUAAUUUUGGAAACACAAAAAAAAUAACAACAAAAAAACCCUAAACCUAAAAGAUUUUUUUUCUCUACAGCCGUUGAACCAAGCCAGCCCCCCCCCUCACCUUUUGAAAAAAAAAAUUUCUCUUCUCACUCAAUCGGCCAAACAGCCCCUCCCCGGUUUGAAUCAUUCUCCAAUCCCCGGCCGUUCCUUUCCCUUCUCAAUAGCAGCGCCUCCCAACUCUGUUCCCAAUUUCCAGCCAACGAAAGCCAAAAAGAAAGCCAUAGCCAGCCGGCGUCCCUCAGCCUUUGAAGAAAAAGAAAGCCAUAGCCGAUCCCCCAUCAUCAGAUUUUUUCCCUUCUUCUCAGCCACUUCACAGCCCCCCUCCCCCACCGGACUUUUGAUUUUUUUUCUUCCCCUUGGUUUUGAUUUUUUCAGACCACGCAGCCAUCCCAGCUCUUCUUCUCCUCCCCACUUCUCCCAACGCCAGCUCUCCUCUCACCGUUCACCAGAGAUUUCUUCCUUCACAGGCCCGACGCCUCAUGGCUUCUCUCUCUCGGCCACGAUCUCCACCGCCUCUCGCCGCCCGUCAUUUGGGCGAACCAGCGGCGUCUCCGCAGUAGCGCCGUCCAAAGAUCCAGCAGACCCAGCUCCACAGAACCGGCUUCCACCGAGCCACACAGCAGCAGGCAAUCUCCCCACCGACCGGACAACCACUCCUCACUCCACAGCAGGUCGGCCACAGAAGAAGAAGAAACCCACAGACUGAUCUGCAACGAAGAAGAAGAGAAAGAGGAGCAGAUCGAAAACGAUGCAGAUCUAAAAAAGGAACAAAAACAGAUUUGAAAUCAAAGAAAAAAACUAAAAUCGACUGCUGUGUGUUUAUUUCCUUGUUCUGUAGAUCACCGAUGGUUUAGGAAGACAGGAGAAGAAGAAGCUGUCUGGACCAGCUGUUUUCCAGCUCCUUCUCACGGUGGCGCGUGGGAAGACGCGGCGCCAGUGAUUUCUGCCCCAGCAGCCUUCCCGAGCACUGUUCCUGCGGUUCUAAGUGGACUUCCCUGCACUUCUUGGACUAUUUAGGGACUGUUUUGUAGUUUUAGAAUUGUUUAAUGUAAUUUGUUUAGUUUUGAUUUUUUUUGUAAUUUAUAUUUUUGUAAAUAUGGAUGUAAAAGAAAAGAAAAGAAAAAAGAAAAAAGAAAAGAAAAGAAAUAAAAAAAAUAGUGAAAGUGUAUGUGUGGGUUUGUAUUUGUUUUUUAUGAAUGUUUUUUUUAUUUUUCUUAUGAUAAAAUUGCAAAGAUUAAAGAAGAAUUUAAUAUUUUGAUUGGAUCACGGUCCAGAUUUAUUAACUUAUACGUAAGUUGUAUUUCUAAUUUCCGAUGAAAAGACAAAAUUUUGAAACUUCUUUAACACGUCAAAAAUCACGAAGCAGCUUACCUCAGGUAGGGUGCGUUAGGGGUGCUGAUACCUUCCCUAACCACAACCAGUCCCUUACCCGGGAGUCUCUGACAAGACCAGUACAUCAGGUUUCCUAGUAGCCCUCAAUAAAUUACUAGGUGGCGACUCCAACGAACCAAUUCAAGCAACGAACGCAACAUACGAGAUUUAAAUCGCCAGCCGAUGCCGCGCGCUGAUUUGAUUUUUUUUUUGGGUGCGACAGAAUGGCGACUCCACUGGGGAAGGUAUUUUUUCGAGUAUUGGACUAAGCUUUGUGUAUUUGAUGUGUUUAAGUUUUUGCAUUUUUAUCUUUUUGUUAAUAUUUAUUUCCAUGCAUUUUAUAGAAUUGUUUCAUGCAUCACCUGUAUUUAUUUUUAAAAGCACACACAAGCUUCUAGGUUAGGUGGGGAACUAGCGAUCUGCCCUAAGACUAUCGGUCAGGGUUCAGAUGCGUGAAACACCCAACUCAUAUCUGAGUGCCUGCUUGGUAAUGGUGGGUAUACGUGCCUUAACCAUUCCUUGCAACGCCCCCAUACUGUCUUUACGAACAACGUCACUGGGCAGAUAUGAGACCCUUUUUUUUUCUUUACACCGCUUCGCCUCAUUUUUUCUUCUUCUCCCCGCGCCGCUUCUCUUCUCUUCUCCCCGCGCCGCUGCACCUCAGAUUUUUGAAUCCUUCAAGAAUUUCACCUUCAAUCUCUAGCAAGAUUUAGUGUUGUGAAUCUUCCUAAAAUUAAAAGGUGUGUAUUUUUUUCCAAUUUAUUUUAUUUACUUUUAAUUUAUUUUUAGUUUUUUUUAUUUUUGUUAUUUUGUUGUUUUGGUGUUUUUUUUGGUAAUGUAGUUAAAGUUUUGAAUUUGUCACAUUAUUAAGGUAUGUAUAUUUCGUUCCUUUUAUUGAUGUAGGUUUUUUUUUUUUUAAUAUUUUUUAUUGUUUUGUUGUCAUAAUUAUAAUGAUUAAUUUGUUGAAUUAUAAUUGUUAAUGUUGAAUUAUAAUGAUUAAUUUGUUGAAGUAUAAUUUGUUCAAUUUAUUGAAUUUAUUUUUUGUCAUAUUUUUUAUUGUUUUGAAUAUAAUUAUUGAUUAAUUUGUUGAAUUAUAAUUGUUAAUGUUGAAUUAUAAUGAUUAAUUUGUGAAUUGUAAUUGUUAAUGUUGAAUUAUAAUGAUUAAUUUGUUGAAUUUAUUGAAUUUAUUUUUUGUCAUAUUGUUUAUUGUUUUGAAUAUAAUUAUUGAUUAAUUUGUGAAUUGUAAUUGUUAAUGUUGAAUUAUAAUGAUUAAUUUGUUGAAUUAUAAUUUGUUGAAUUUAUUGAAUUUAUUUUUUGUCAUAUUUUUUAUUGUUUUGAAUAUAAUUAUUGAUUAAUUUGUUGAAUUAUAAUUGUUAAUGUUGAAUUAUAAUGAUUAAUUUGUUGAAUUAUAAUUUGUUGAAUUUAUUGAAUUUAUUUUUUGUCAUAUUUUUUAUUCUUUUGAAUAUAAUUAUUGAUUAAUUUGUUGAAUUAUAAUUGUUAAUGUUGAAUUAUAAUGAUUAAUUUGUUGAAUUUAUUUUUUAUCAUAUUUUUUUAUUGUUUUGAAUAUAAUUAUUGAUUAAUUUGUGAAUUGUAAUUGUUAACGUUGAAUUUAUCUUAGGAUUAAUAGUUGAAUAUGUUGGAAUAAUUAGUAUAGAUUGGUUCAAUUGGUUGUGGCUAUUGUUAAUAUUUGCAGGUUUGUGGAUUUGGGUAGUAUCCAGUAUAGGGGAGGUGCUGCCGAUUUUUUUUUAACUUUUGAAUUUUAUUAUACAAUUAUUUAUAUAAAAUUGUUUAGAUGCGCAAAAUGAAAACCAGAGCUGGUCGUUCACGUCCAGUCGAAUCAAGUUCGUCUAGCAGCGAUGAUGAUGUAUCCUUAGGUGCCUCUCAAGAAGAGGCACCUACACCACCUGCGCCGUCAACCAAUGCUGCCUCUUCCAACGAUGUUUCACAUCGCAGAAGCGGCGUGCCUUCGCAGCGGAAUCAAUUUACCCGCAAGUACGAGGCACAGUGGAAGGACGAUCUUUCAAUGUAAGUUUGUUAAGGUUUUAGUUUUUUUUAUAUAUAAAAAAAACAAAUUUAAAACAUAAUUUAUGAAGUAAUCACUAUUUCAUUAAUUUCAUUUCUUUUCAGGUUCACAAACAUUGAGGCUGCCCGAGUAAUAUCAUCGGCGUUUAAAGCGUCGAUGGAGAUUCCAUUGUUUCAAUGGAGUCAGAUAUCCAGGCAUCGUGAAUGGAUGCCUCAAAUCAAUGCAUAGUUUCGUAGAUUUGAGGUUCGUGUUAAUAUAUAAUUUUCAGCUUAUUUCUAAUAAGUUCUAGUUAUAAUUGUAAAUAAAUUAUUAACAUUUUAAAAAAUUAUUUUUUUAUACACAACAUCGAUUCUGUUGGGACGAUGAACAUGACACUGUUGUGAGGAGGGUGUGGGAAAAUCACGUGGCAAUUAGGUAACAUCGAAAACAAUACGACUUUUUUUUUACAUAAUUAUUUAUGUUUUGAAAUGUAAUUUUUUCGUGCAUGAAUUAGGUUGCGUGAUUUUUGGUAUGACACCCAGAAAAAAGCAAAAAAAACAGCGAGGGAUAAGGGGUUCCAAGGCUGGAACGAUGUUGCGGUUUGGAGGGAUUUCAAACCAAUAUACAUCCCGGAAGAUAUAUGGACGCACUAUCUUCAGCACGUGACGUCUGAGCGGUUCACUCGACGCUUACAGUCUGGUGCUGGCAACCGGAAUCGGCCAAUGCAUGGCUCGGUGACAACGCACACCGGCGGCUCCGUUCCGUUUGUUGCACAUACGAAACGGAUGGUAAGAUUAAUUUAAAUGAAAUAUAUCGUUCAAUUAAUUUGUUGUUAAUACAUUUUUUUCAUUAUAGGCUACGUCUCUUAGACGUGAGCCGAGCCCUAUGGAGCUGUUUGUGGAGACGCACGUGCGGAGUCAUGACCGCCAAAAGGGGACGCAACAGUUCGUUGACAACCGUGCUCAACAUUUUGUGGUAUGUUUGUUCAACCAUUUUAUUUUGUAAGUUAUUAUUAUGUUUAUUGAGACCUAUAAUAAUCGGUUGAGGGAGAGAUACAGGGACGAUCCUUCGACCCAUCCGGAAUUCGAUCCGGAUUUGUGGAUGGAGGCUGGAUCGUCAGGUGGACCCGAUAAAAAUCGAGUUUACUGGCUCUCCAACACUACUGCCGCCAACUUGCGGUCGACCGAUACUGCUUCAACCGCUGGGAGCUCCCAAUCUGUAUCGAGCUCCCAAUCUAAGGAGUUUGUGGCCUUGCAGCAAAGGUGCGACCACCUAUCAGAGGCAUACACACAACUCAAAGAAGAGCAAAGAUUGGCGAACGAACAACACAAAGCAGAGUCUGAACAACAAAGAGCGGCCUAUGAAGAGCUUCGUCAAAUGGUCAUGAACAUGACACAAGGUGGAACAUGUGCGCCUAAUCCUUUUUGGCCGCCUAACCCUCAUCCUCCUCCUCCUCCUCCACCUUUAUAUUAAUUUUUAAUAAACAUUAUUUACAUUUUAAAUUUUGUUUAAUGUUUUUUUGAAACACAUUCAUUUUGUAAUGAAUAUUAUUUCACUUUGAGUUUUUGUUGCUUAAUAUAAAUUUUAUUUGCAUAAUUGGUUUGUAUUACCAUUAAUUUAUAUUAUUUUUUCUAAAUAACUAAAAAACAAUUAAAAAAAACAAUUACACAGGGAUUUACCGACGAAAUAACUCCGUCGGCAUUAGACAGUGUCUGCCACCAUCACCCACCAUCACCGACAUAUAGAUUUACAUAAAUUUACCGACGAACGUUCUAUCACACACCGACGGAAUAUGUCCGUCGGUAAAACUAUGAAAUCUUGUAGUGAUUGGUAUUAAAAAAAUAUAAUUUUAAAAUAAAAAGUAUUUUAAAAAACACUCCCCAUACAUAUAACAAAUAGUAGGUCUCAACAAUCAUAAAGUCACUCACAAUGGGAUUAGGUCCUCUUUUUGUUUUUUAAAGCAUUUUUUUUAAAAAAAUAUUUUAUAUUAUUUUUUUAUUUCAAAUUAUUUUUUCUUUGUAUUUUCAAAUUAUUUUAAUAUGCUGAUAUUAAAAAUAAUUUUUUUAAAAUAAAAAUUAUUUUAUUUUAAUAUAAUUUUAAAUAAAAAAUACUUUAAAAAAUAAUUAUAACCAUAUUUUAAAACAAACUCUAAAAUGUGAAUAUUUCACGUUCUGCUGCAAAAUGCAGUGUGGGCUGGUUACUUUGCUGAUGCACAGUAACCAGCCCAUUUGGGCCCGAGCCGGGACAUCAGCCCAGCCCACAGUAGAUGAGCCGGAUCCGGCCCUGUUUUUUUUUUUUUUUACUAUUUCCUCGCAUAGUUUUACGCUUUUUUAUAUUAGUAACGGAAUAUAUUUUUAUGUCGUUAAAAAUACAAAAUCCGGUAUUUAAAUACAUGGUUUUCUUCAACUUAAAAAAAAUUGAAAAAAAUAUUUUUGUGCAUACGCCCAAGUGUCUCAAAGCUAAAAAAUCAUUUUGUGUUUUUCAUACACCAAAAAAUAAUGCUUGCUCAUUCAUUUUGGCUUUAACAACUAGUUUAUUAAAGUCAAGAGAAUAUUGAUCAAAAUUUCAAAAAGAAGAAAAAUUUUAUUUUAUUUUGUUUUAAUAUCAGGGAUUACAAAUUUAUAUGUAAAAUAUAUUCUUGAUAUUAAAAAAGCUAUUUUUUUGUUGACAACAUAGAACAAUUAGGUUUUAUCCCAUUAAUAUAAGAACCUCCUUACAGAAAAGGGCUUUUCUUAAAACUUAGAGAGGCAGGACUAACAAUUAGAAAUCACAACAAGACUUUAGAUUUUAUCAGACAACAAAACAAUGCAGCUUACCUUAGGUAGGGCGUAGUUGGGGUGCUAAUACCUUCCCUUUACGCAACCAGUCUAUGUAACCGAUCUUUGAGACCAGUUAGGGUUUCUAGUAACCAGAAUACUAGGUGGCGAUUCCCAUUCAAAUUCUCCACUGAUAAGAGACAAGAAUUCAUUGUCUUUUCAUAUUUUGCCAAAUACACCAAUACAAUUUUUCAUGAGGGUGGACGAUCGCAGCGACGCCGCACACAUGCGACAAUCACUUUAUUCUUGGUGGAGCAUUUUCAAAAUAAAAGUUUUCAAGUCUGAAAAUAAAGUGUGGAAUUAAAGAUGUGGUGAGUGUUGUACUACUAAUUCAAUAUUGAAGAUCUAUAAAGAAAGAAGUGAAUUGACAAUUCAAGUAAGGCCAAGUUCAAGAAAUAAUUUUUAUUUUUUUUAUCAAUAAAAGAAAUGUUAGUCCUUGUAGGAAACGUACAAGGAUUUUUAAGCUGUAGGAUGAUAUUUUUGGCAUUUUAGUUUCUCAAUCUUAAUAUUAAACAACAAAAUAUUCAAUUGUUUUGUUAACAAAUUCCCUUUGUAGUUUAUAAGUAACAAUGAAAAUAUGUCGAUUAUAUGCCUUGAUGAUAGGAAUUGAUAUUUGUGUUUUGGUAGAGCUGGGAUGCUGGCAUUUCAACUUUCCUUCCCUUCUUUGCAGGCGGACUUUCAACUCCAGAGGAAGAAGAAGAAGAAUAGUGCAAGUGGAAAUGACAUCAUUUUGGUCUGGGAAUGAUCAUUUCCAAUUUGAUCCUUGAAGUUUUGAAAUUUUGCAUUUAAGCCCCUGAUCUUUUAAUUUGAAAUUUUAACCCCUUUAAAAUUAAAUUAAAAGCAAAUGGAUCAAAAUUGAGUUAUAACAUCCAUAAUAUUGGAAUGCAUUAUCUUAAAGAUUUAUCAAACAUGUACUUUUAAAGUGAAGUUAAUACAAAUUAUACUCCUUUUUAUUUGCUUAGUUUUUUCCUAUUAGAUUUUACUUUGCAAGGUUUUAAUGAGACAAUUUGAUAUUUUUAUGAAUUCUAAAGAAUUCAAAUAUAAAUUUUGAAGUAUUUAUAUUAAACUUUUUAUUGAAUUCUGAAGUAUUCAGAAAUUAAACAAAAAUAUUGUAAUUUUUCUCUUUAACUUAGAUGUUUUUCCAUUGGGUUUUAAAUCUUUCAAUGUUUACACGCUCUUCGUGUUGGAGCAUGAUUUAUUAAUCUUAAGAUAUUAUUUAACUGCUGAUCGAAGAUAUGAUGAGAUAGUUAAAAAUCAAGAAAUCAUUGAAAUGAAGGAGCUAUUACAAAAUAGAGGAAGAAUUCACAUAACAUUGACCAAAUCAAAGUCUGCAAUUACUAAUGACAUGUGUAGACAAACCCCAAUGAAGCCAAAUUAAUCACAGCCAGCAACCUCGACAUUGGGAACCUAUAUAGGAAGAAGUCACGUAAUAUUGACCAAAUCAAAGUCUACAAUUACUAAUACACGUUUAGACAAACUAUGGAAACCCCAGUGAAGCCAUAUCACAGCCACCAGCCUCGACGUUGGGGGUACGCAGGGUAAUAGAUGAUUAAGGGGAUUUGUUUGUUUUUUUAAUUCAUAUUUUAUAAUUAGUAGUUAAUAGAAUUAGAUUUUCUAAUUAAAUACAUUAAUGUAAUAAUAUUAAGUAUGUAUUCUUAAAAUUAUUAAAAAAAUACUUAAUCUCAACUAACUUUGAAACUAAUUGAAGGUGCAUUGAUUGUUGAGGGAAAAAUAAACACAGACAGCAAAUAAUUACUCCCUCUUACACAUUCCAAAGCCAAUAAAUGCAUCCUUGAAAUGUAAUUAAUUCAAAUUAUAAUUUGUGAAAUCCUGAUCUUGGGCUCAAUUAGCUCAAUUAAAAAGCUUUAACUCUAAACAAAUUUAAUUUUGAAUAAAAAAAUCAUGGAAAAAAUAUUAAUAAAAAAUUUACAAAAAAAAAGCAACAAAAACAAUGGAGAUAAAAUUUGAUUGGAAUUUUUUUUUUUAAAUGAUCCUAAAUAAAAUAAAUAGCAACUAAAAUAAUAAGGACUAAAUUUGAAAGUUGAAAAAAUUAUAGGGGGAAAUUGAAUUAAAAAACAUUUGUAAUUUGAUAGAUUAUUUAUCGAUUAAAAAAAACAGAUGGUGAAAUUAAAAAAUAUUUGUAAUUUGAUAGAUCAUUUAUAUAUUUAAAAAUUGUAAGGAAGUUAAAUUGAAAAAAAAAUUAUAAUUUAAAAAAUUAUUUAUAGAUUAAAAAAUUAUAGAAGUGUCAAAUCGAAAAACAUUUGUAAUUUUAUAGCUCAUUCUAAAAUAAAAAAAGUAUUAAUCAAAAGGAUAUGAACCAAAUAUGAAGAAAAAAAAUUAAAGAGGAUGCUCUGAAUUUUUGCAUGGGUGACAUAAAAUUUGUGGAGAGAGAAGGGAAAAAAGGAAAAGAAAUGGACUCUAUGUCAAACUAGCACACUACUAUGUAAAAAGUGUUGAGAUCUUUUAAACGUCACCUGAAAAGCUAUUUUUGGUGGUCGGACAGUCCCGCACGCACGACCUAAAUAAUACGAGGACUACUCACACACUGGCUAAUGCGUUGCAUGUACAUGCCAACAAAUUUUUUUUAAAAUAAUAUUUAAUAUAUGUUUAUUAUAAUAAUAAUAAUAAUAAUAAUACCCAAAAAACCCUCAAAAUCUACAACAAAACCAAUAUCAGAUGAAUAAAAUAACAGAGUUAUACUUUUUGGGUCUCAAAAGAUACCUAAGUUAUUAACUAUUUUGAAAAAAAUAAAAGGGCAAAAACACCCCCAAGACUAAAGUAUAAGAGUUUUGUAUUCCAAAGCCAUUGUAGUAAUUUUACUUUGUAAAAUAAAAAUAAAAUGAUAAAUAUAACUUCAUAUAAUAUGUUAAAUACAUGUUAAAAAGACAGUUUUACAUUCAAAGCUUAAUUAGUUUAUUGUCAUUUUAGUCUCCGAACACAUUCUUGUGAUUGACCAGCAAAACAAGGCUACUUUCCUUUUGAAAUUCCUCGUUCAUCUAAGCCAUGUUUGCCCCUUUAAACUCAUUGACUGCAACCAAGGUCUUAUCUGCUAAAACUCCCAAGUUUCUGAUCAUCAACAUAAUUGUUGGUUUCUUUUGCCUCACCGAAAAUCCUUACUCGCUGAUGCUUUAAGCCACUCCCUCGUUUCCUCUGAAGUUUUUCUCCUCACUUUUUUUCUUUUCCUGCACAUCAUGUAGAAUUGUAGACAAAUGAUUACAAGGAAAAUUGUUGCCCCCCAAUAGCUGCAAAAAAAUGUCAACGAGGGAUGCGCGUAACUCACAAAACGAACCAAUGGAAAGGAUACAUUUACUAAAUUGUUACCAAGUGAUGAGCAUUCAAAUCCAAUUAUUUUCUAUUUUAUUGUUUUACAGUUAAGAGUUUCCAAAGUGGUGAUAGGCCGUUAAUGUUACUUACAAGCCCAUCACCAAUAAGAUAUAGCAACUAUUUUAAAAUCCGACAUGACUUGAUGGUUUACCCAUGAUUCUGGUGACUUAAAGCUUAGGUCAGCAAUGAUUUCAAAACAAUUGGGAGAAUUAACCUAAUAAAAAUUCUCAUUGACCCGAGACUCAAUCAAAAAAUGUUGUUUUUUUUUUCUUUUUAAAUUUUAUUUAAAUGAUGUUAAUUUUACUUUUUAUAAAAUUAAAAAAUUAAGUUAACCCAAAUUAAUUACCCUGAACCGAAACUUGAGACUUGCCAAAACUAUGUUUACAGUUGCUCAUGCAAUGGCUAGAAAAUGAUGGGAAUCUUGUUUUGGUAAGAAUUCGUAUGCUAUGGAAAUUUGAGCUAGCUGUGGAGCUUUCUCUGUCUGUGAAUGUAGGUAAACAUCACUGAAUUUGGUUUGAUUAGGAAAUCGAAGGUACUCGUCAAUUUCGCAAAACAAUUUCUUUUUGAGAGAGUAUAUUAAUUAGUCCUGUAAACACAAUUUUUAUUUGAACACAGGUGACAAAAGAUAAGGUACAUCUGGAUUCUUGAAAAAUGUCAAGCUUCCAAGUUCCAGGAGAAUUACUAGAGACAAUAACUCAAGAACAUCAAUAGCCAUAAUCUACAAUUUAUUAAUGGAGCUAUCUGACUUAUUGAAUGUUGGAAACUGAUUGUGGUCUGACUUUAACUGCUGUUAGUGUAGUUCUCGAUCUGCAAUGAUAUCACAGUCUGGGAUUGAUCCAUGGGAGGACUUGCAUUCUUGCAGAAAGAUUGUGAUGAUUCGCCUAACAAGUAGUCUGUUUCCUCGCUAUUUUGCUGAGCCAAUGAUUUCUGAUGAAGAGCUUUCAGCUUAGCAAGCUCAUCGGACACUUCCUUCAUGGUUGGCCGGUUUACUCCCAUGCUAUUUAGACAUCCUUUCGCAAGCUCAGCUACAGCUUCUAUCUCAUCCAUUUCACCUUCAUUAGCUGUCUGGAAAUCCAAAAUUUUGAAGAGAUGAUUAUUUUGCAGUGCUGAGAUGAAGUGUUGAAUAACGUUCCGUUUCUCUCCAGACUUGGAAAUGGAGUUUGGCAUCUCUCCAGUGAGAAGCUCCACAAGAACUACCCCAAAGCUAUAGACAUCACUUUGAACGGUUAAAAUACCCGUCAUAAGAUACUCAGGAUCCAGGUAGCCUAGAGUCCCUUGUAUUUUUGUAGCUAAGAUAUUGGUUUGGCCAGGAGACAUCAGCACCGAAGCUCCAAAAUCUGCUACUUUUGCUGUGCAAUUAUUGUCUAGAAGUAUGUUUACUGACUUGACAUCUCCAUGAAUAACUGGAGGGUCUGCCAGAGAGUGCAAAUAAUCAAGCGCAAGCGCAGUCUCCGAUGCUACCCUCAAACGAUUGGUCCAGGAAGCCAAUAUCCGGGAACCUUUGUCGUGGAUGUGCUUGGAAAGAGUUCCAUUUGAGAUGAACUCAUAGACCAGUAAUGGAACUUUGGUCUCUAAACACAGGCCCAAGAGCUUUACCACAUUCUUGUGAUUGACCUGUGAAACAAUGCUCAUUUCCUUUUGAAAUUCCUCAUUCAUCUGAGCUUUGUCCACCCCUUUGGACUUCUUGACAGCAACCACUGUAUUAUCUGUUAAAGCUCCACUGUAAACAGAACCAAAACCACCCUCCCCGAGUUUCCGAUCAUCAGCAUAAUUGUUGGUUGCCUUUACCAGCUCUGUCUCGCUGAAAAUCCGUACUCGUUGAUUCUUUAAAAAUUUUCCCCCGUUCUCUUGGAAGUUCUUCUCCUUUAUUCUUUUCGUGCAGAUCAUGUAGAGUAGCAGACAAAUAACCACAAGGAGAAUGCUUGCGCC